CCGAUGUCGAUGCCGAUGUGGGGAUAGAGCGGAUCCCACUCGCCGUUGGAGUAGGUGUCGAUUUCGACGGCGAAGACCGAGGCACUGUUUCCGGUGGAGUCAAAGAUUCCGAGGUUGGCUCCGUUGGAGGCAGAAGGGAUGGUGGAGCCGACGGGGGCGAUGAAGAAGGUGAGGCCGUCGGCAGGGGUGUUGUCGGGGCCGGGUGUGAUGAUGAAGUUUACAGUGGUUUCAAAGUCGACUUGGCCGCCGGCUUGGGAGAACUGGACCGGGUUCGAAUGCAAGACCCGGCCGACUUGUGAGGACUGUGCGUCGGUGAGGCGGAGGAAGGUGGAGUCCGACGGGAAAUGGGCGUCGCCUUGAUAGAUGAGAUCGCUCGGCUGGAUGCCCCAGAAGUCGUAGGUGAAGGACGUCGAUUGGGACCGCACCGUGUUGGCAGCGGCGAGGAGGAGGACGAUGGAGGAGAGGAGAGGAACUAGGGUUUGGAGAAGCUUUGCCAUGGCUUAAUUGAGUAGGAGUAGUUGAUUUGAAUGUGGUGGAUCAUGGUGGUUUCUGUUGCAUCUAUUUAUACUACUAUAGUGCAUUAAUUUAUGAUAAUAAUGGUAGCAAUCAAUCAUUAUACUUCACGGUUUGUAUCUCACUAACGAUUUCAUUAUUUUAAUACUCCCUUCGUCCACUAAUUUGUGUUCUACUUAUUUUUAGUAACUAUUUUCUUAAUAAAUAAAUCAUGUUUUCUAAAAGUUGUGUCCCUUCUCCACUCAACAAAUAAAUAAUACUUCCUCUGUCUCACAAAAACAUGAACAAAGAGAAAUGACACGGGUCUUAAGAAAUGUUAGUUGAGAGUUAAAAUGAGAGUAAAAGGGGUCCCACUUUAAAAAGUGUUGUGAGAGUAUUGAAUUAAUUAAGAAAAGAUAGUGGUGGGCCAUAAUGGUUUUUUUGUAAAUAAGUGUAAAAAUGAGGGAUGCAAAAUAAAGGGAUAAAUUCCAAGAAUAGUAAUGUUCAUGUUUUUGUGAGACGCCCCAAAAUGAAAAAACGUUUAUGCUUUUGUGAGACGGUAGGAGUGCAUUUUUUCUUAAAACGUGUGCUCCCUUCCCAUAGGACAUGAAUUGGUAGACGGAGGGAAUAAUUAUUAUUAGUGUUGAUUGUUACUCCCUCCGUCUCACAAAAACAUGAAAAUUUCUAUUUUGGUACACUACCCCACCACAAUCCCUUUACUUUUCAUCUAUACUUUUCAUAAAGUCGGACCAUUUUUUCAUUCACAAUAUACUUUAUCUAACAUUUCUUAAAACUCGUGUCACUUGCAAAUGUUCAUGUUUUUGUGAUACGGAAGAAGUAAUAAAUUAGUGAACUUUCAUUAUUGGAUGGAUUACGUAAUCUGAUUUUUUGCUACCAAUCAGGAUUUCAGCCAAACUCAGUGAUGACAUGACAGAGUCAAGCAUAUCUGAAGAUUACCAAUCAGGAUUUCAGCCAAACUCAGUGAUGACAUGACAGAGUCAAGCAUAUCUAAAGAUGAAUUAAAACUUUAGAAUAUGCCAAGACCUCGAUAAUUUGUAUCAUUCGACUUAAUUUUGCUUGAUUUAUAUCUCAUUGAAAGAAUAGGAUUAGAGAAGUUAUAGUAAUAAUUUAUGGAAUAGGCUAAUGUGGCAGUAUAAAACAUAGACUGGUAAAUAGCUUCCAUCUGUACUUGAUGGAUGAUACAUGCACAAAUAUGAAGAAGAAAUUUAAAACGUGACACCUUUAUAUUUAAAAUCGUACUCACGAAGAGGCCCACAUUUGUACUUUAAUCAGAUGCUCUCCAUUAUUGUCCUUUUAUAAUUUUAUAGGAAAGGGAAAACAUGUAAAUAUCUUUCAGUCGAUAAACAUUAAAAUAUAAUUAGCGUUAUUUAAAUUUUUAUGAAUCAAGAUAUUGGAUGGAUUAGGUUUAGUUAUUUCGAUUGUUCAUAGACUUGAGUGGAUUAGCAAAGAAUACGUGCAAUCACGUGUAAACAGAAAAUUCUAAUUAAUAAGUUUUCGUAAUUGUAUAUUAAUUUUAAUUGUUGGGAGUGUAGAUGAAAAAUGUGGUGGUAUAAUAUUGGAGGGAUGUAUUUUAAAUUAAAUGCAAGUGUAAUGUAGAAUAUGUGGACGUGUGUGUAGUAGUAGGUGCUAGGAGAGAGCAAAAACUUAUUUAAUCACUUGUUUUACUUUUUCCUUUCUCACUUACAAAAUCAAUGUCUCAUUUGUAUUCAUAAUACAAUUACAAAAUCGGUGGUGUAAAUCAACUAUUAGGGUGUGUUUGCUUUUUAUCCCUCUAAAUAGAGGGAUAACAAAAAUUUAUGCCUUUAACGUCUCAAAUCGUACUCAUAGAGGACCUCAAACGUCUUCGAGCCGGCGGUGGCACGGACGGAGAUCAUCUUCGUGGCUCCGACGAAGUUGAUCCGCGCAGUCACCUGCUGCCUGAGUAUGGCGCCGCCUACCUUCAUCGUGUUGUGGGAUGACCUAGAUCUGAUGUCUAUGCCGAUGUGGGGGUAGUUCGGAUCCCACUGGCUGUUGACGUAGGUGUCAAACUCGACGGCAAAGACCGAGGGGCUGUUGCCGGAGGAACCGAAGAUUCCGAGGUUGCCCCUGACGGAGCCGGUGGAGCCGACGGGGGCUAUGAAGAAGGCGAGGCCAUCAGCGGCGAGGGUGUUGUUAAAAAGUAAUAGCAAGCAGGAGGUUUGAGAAGUGAGAGAAAUGAUUUCAUUUGAUUGAAUGAUUAAUUAACAACUGAUUUACACAUAUUUAUACUACCGCAGACUACUAACUGACUAACUAAUACAAGCUGACUCAGCAAACUAAUUAACAAGAAGCUAACUAAUCAUCUAACAACUAAGCAAACAAGUAGACUUCAAUAGGUGUUAUGAUGAAGUUUACGGUGGUUUCAAAGUCGACUUGGCCGCCGGCUUGGGAGAACUGGACCGGGUUCGAGUACAAGACCCUGGUCUGCGGGUUGAAACUUUGGAAUAUGACAAGACCCAUAGACAGUUUUUAUCAUUUGACUUAAUUUUGCUUGAAAGAAUAGGAUCAGAUAAAUUAUAGUAAUAAUUUGUGGAAUAGGCAAAUGUGCAGUGGCAGUAUAAAACAUAGACUGGUAAAUAGCUUCCAUUAUUGUAGUUGAUGGUGGACCUUACAUUCAACAAAUAUGAAGAAGAAAUUCAAAACGUGACACCUUUAUAUUUAAAAUCGUACUCACGAAGAGGCCCACAUUUGUCCUUUAAACAGAUGCUCUCCAUUAUUGUCCUUUUAUAAUUUUAUUAUAGGAAAGGGAAAACAUGAAAUAUCUUUCAGUGAAUAAACAUUAAAAUAUAAUUAACGUUAUUUAAAUUUUUAUGAAUCAAGAUAUUGAAUGGAUUAGGUUUGUGGAGAGUUGGCCCAAUUAUCAUUAACUCCUCUGGCCCAAUACUCUUCCCUAGCCCAAAUCUGCUACUCGGCCCAUUCCCAACCCCUAAGCCCACUGCCCUUCAGUUUUACUCCCCUCAUUCUCACUUACCUGCGCCGCUUCAUCUUUUUCCGCCGCCCGUCUCCUCGAUCCCCACCUCCGACUUCAAUGCUCCACUGAUAUGACUAAACUCACGAGCUCUUCGAGUGAGCACAAACUCCUGAACACAGAUAGAGAAAACUUGGAAAGAGAGACAACAACUUCAAUAUUCAUUCAUGAUAAUAGAGAAAACAAGGAAACAUCCUAUAUAUGGCCAACGGCCUUCUGGGAAAAGUAGAAACAGACACCUAGGGAUUGAGCGACAAAGUAUCAGUUUUCUCUAACAAACAGGGACCACCGAAUCAGCUUUCUCUAUCCCACUACAUAGUCCUUCAGCCAAAGUGGUUGCUGGGAUACUCGUUUGGGCUUCUUCCCUUCUUGGGGCUUCUCUGGUUGGGCCGCAAAGUCACGCUCAGCAAUUGGGCCUUGGGAUGUAACAUUCCCCACCGCUUCUGCAAUCACCUUGUCCUCAAGGUGAAACUGAGGAUAGGAGAUGCGAAAGUCUUCCAAAUCCUCCCAAGUAGCAUUUUCAGGAGGUUCUCCAAACCAUUGAACCAGCACUUGAUGACGCGGUCCGUCCUUGCUCAAGACGCGGCGUUGGGAGCAGAUGGCUAACGGAACGGCGAUCGGUGAGAAUCCGCGAUUCUGGCGGAAGAUCACAGGAACGUCUGAGUUGUCACCCUUGUAGGGCUUGAGGCGACACGUGGAACACCGGGUGGAUGCGGCUGGUGGGAGGCAAUUCGAGGCAUACGCCACUGGACCAACCUGCUCCGAUAUGGUGAAGGGGCCAUAGUACCUGCGCGCUAGUUUGGGCGCUACUCGGCCGGAAACUGAGGUUUGUCGGUAUGGCUGUAGACGCACCAGGACAGAGUCGCCAACGUUAAACUCGAGCUCGCGACGACGACGAUCACUAUUCUGCUUCAUGCGUGCCUGCGUUUGGCGAAGAGUGAUUUUCAGCUGACGUAACAAUUGAUCUCGUUCCAAGAGAAGAUCCUCGACAGCCUGAAUUUUCGAUGCUCCCCGGACAUAAGGCGGAAUGGUCGGUGGCAGUCGCCCAUAAAGCGCUUGAAAUGGGGUCAUGCGAAUGCUGGAACAAUAUGAGGUAUUGUAGGAAAACUCUGCCCAGCUCAAGUAUUGCGCCCAAGAUGAUGGCUUCAGGUGAGCGAACGAACGGAGGUACUGCUCGAGGCCGCGAUUGACCACCUCCGUCUGACCGUCGGUUUGUGGGUGGUAAGCGGUACUAUGAUGCAACGUAGUUCCCGACAGUUGAAAGAGCUUGUGCCAGAAUUUACUCAAGAACAGAGGAUCGCGAUCGGAGAUGAUUGAAGCUGGAAAUCCAUGAUACUUGACAACCAUUUCUAUAAAGAGAGCAGCUACAGAUGUAGCAGUAAAGUGUGCCGGCAAUGGUCCAAAAUGGGCGGACUUAGUAAGACGAUCAACCACAACAAAAAUCGUAGUGAAGUGGCGGCUCGGAGGGAGGCCCGUGAUGAAAUCCAUAGUGAUGUCUUCCCAGACUUGAUUCGGUGUAGGGAGAGGUUGAAGCAACCCUGCUGGAGGUAGGGUUGAGUACUUAGUGUGUUGGCACGUGAUGCAGGACGCCACAUAUUUCUCUACCGCAACUCGCAUCCGAGGCCAAAAAAACGUGGUAGCUAAACGAACUAGAGUGCGCUUCACUCCUCCGUGACCAGCAGUAGGAGUGGCAUGGGCUUCGUGGAGAAGGCGAGGAAUGAGGGAAGACUCGGGGCUGAUGUAGAAUCGAUUGCGGAAUAACAGAAUUCCAUUGUGGACCGUGAAGUGGGAAUUCAACUUGUGAGCCUCAAAUUGCUGGUGGAGGGCGAUGAGAUCAGGCUUUGUAGAGUUUUCCAAGCGAAUGACGUCACAGAGUUCAGACAUGGGCAUGCUGGCUACGGUCAGCGCAAGUAACUGCGGUGAAGGCUCGCCUUGAUCCUCCGGCAAUCGAGAUAGAGCGUCGGCUGCGCGGUUGGAACUGCCCGAGCGAUACUCAAUCCGAAAAUGAAAUCCCAGCAGCUUACUGACAUAUCGCUGCUGUUCCGGGGUCUGGAUCGUCUGUUGCAAGAGCUCUCGAAUACUCUUGUGAUCCGUUCGAACCACGAAGAAUCUCCCCAGCAGGUAUUGCCGCCAUUUCCUCACUGAUUCUGUGAUGGCGUACAGCUCCUUCGUGUAUGUCGAGGCAGCUUGUAGUCGCGGGCCCAAUUUCUUACUGAAAAAUGCUAUGGGAUGCGCCAACUGCAUGAGCACCGCUCCCACUCCCACAUUGGAAGCGUCAGUUUCCACUAUAAACUCCAAGUCGAAGUUGGGCAGAUGAAGGACCGGCACUGAGGUCAUAGCAGCCUUAAGAGCAUCGAAGGCCACUUGUGCAGCGGGGUCCAUGGAAAGAAUCCUUGCGGAGAAGGUCCGUGAGAGGGUUGCGAUUCCGGCGUAUCCGCGCACAAAUCGGCGAUAAUAUCCGGUCAGACCCAAAAAUGCUCUAAGUUGCCGCGUGGUCUUGGGGAUAGGCCAAGUUUCCAUUGCCAAGAGUUUGCUCGGGUCAGCUUUAACACAUCCCCCAGUCAAGAUGUGCCCUAAAUAAUCAACUGAAGAUUGGCCAAAAACACAUUUGGAGAGUUUCAAACAAUAGUGGUUAGUCGAUAAGCAAUCAAAAACCAUUUGGAGAUGUAAUUGGUGAUCCUCCAUUGUCCCACUAAAGACCAAUAUAUCGUCAAAGAAUACGACCACAAAUUUGUGCAAGUGUGGAGCAAAAAUCUGGUUCAUGACAGAUUGGAAUGUCGAUGGUGCGUUACAGAGACCAAAGGGCAUUACCAGGAAUUCGUAAUGGCCGUCUGCCGUUCGGAACGCCGUCUUGUGGAUGUCUUUGCUAUGAACGCGAAUUUGAUGGUAUCCGGAGUGCAAAUCCAAUUUAGAGAAGAUCCGAGCACCGCCCAAGUCAUCGAAUAUCUCGAUGGUAGGAAUGGGGAAAUGGUCGCGCACAGUAACGGCGUUCAAGGCUCGAUAAUCGACGCAGAACCGGUAGGAGCCAUCCUUCUUGCGGACUAAAACACCGGCGAAGAGAAGGGGCUGCGGCUUGGCCGAAUGGUACCUUGAGCGAGCAUAUCUGCCACCAACUUGGCUACCUCCAACUUCUGAAAUUGGGGGUAUCUGUAUGGCCGGACGUUGACCGGGGCUGAGUUCGGCAGCAGGUGAAUGCGGUGGUCGGCGGAGCGAUAUGGUGGUAACCCCGUCGGGGGAAGAAAUAAUCGCUGGUAUUGCUGAGGAGGAGUGAAGCUCAGUAGGGCAGGACGUGGGUGGAAAUAUUGGGCCUGGGCCGUUAGUAACCCCCAAGGGAUUGGGCUCUAACCCUAGCAGCAACUUGGGCUCCUCUUCUACACAAAUGGGCCGUAUAUGUAUCUCAAAAAUUUGGUCAAUGUGAUUUUCGGCGGUUAGCACCUGAAGUUGAGCGAGGGUAAUGACCGGCGUCUCCGGAGCCGGGUCGCCGCGCAGUUGAAUGCGUUGGCCGUCACGAUCAAACUCCAUGAAUUGAUCCGCGUAGUGAUGCGUGACUGGUCCGAGUUGUUGUAACCAUUGAAUGCCCAAAACAAUAGUGGGACCCGUAAUGUCCAGUACAUGGAGAUCAACCACAAACGUGUGGCCUUGGACUCGGAGGGGCACCGCUGGGCAUAAAUGUCGACAGACCAAGAAAUCGCCGUUGCCGACAAAGACACGAAAUGAUGGAAUGUCCCGGAUUGGUAGUUUGAGGGAUUUAGCAACUGAUGGUUGGAGGAAAUUAUGAGUGCUACCGCUAUCCACGAGGACGCGAAAUGGGGUACCUCCAAUGGAACCGGUGAGUUGCAAUGAUCUCGGAGAAGAGGCGCCGGACAAAGAAUGUAGGCUGGAGACAUCACCCACGGUGGUGUCAUCGCUGACUUCUGCAGAAGAAUCCUCUGGUGGCUCUGUAUCUUCUCCUUCCUCGCUACCCACGAGUAACAGAAACUUGGUGCGGCAACGGUGGCCCGUGGACCACUUUUGAUCGCAGUUGUAACAAAGGCCCCGGUCACGUUUGUCCUUAAUUUCAGAUGGGCUCAAACGUUUGAUGGGAAUGGUGGGUAGGGGUAGGCGGCGGUGGGCGAGGAUGCCUGCUGGAUGACGGCGUGGCAGAGGAGGCCGUGAUAAGUGGCGGGGUCGGAGGUGAAGCUGUGAUGGGCGGCGUAGAGUUAAGAGGGACAGCUUUGAUGGGCCACCGGGAGGAUGGAAACGAGCUGAGUCGGGAUUCCUCAAAUCGAGCCUCAUAUGCGCGGGCCAGCGCAAACGCCUCCAUGAGGGAGGUGGGCUUAGAUAUGCUGAGUUCGCGUCGGAUCUCCGCCUUUAACCCAGUCACAAAAAAACUGAUCAAGAGAUGUUCCGGAAUACCAUGAACUUGAUUCAUCAAAUCCUCAAACUCAGUCUGAAAAUCAGCCACUGAACUCGUUUGCGUAAGUUUAGAAAGGGCUCCUUGCGGAUCGGAGAACAAGGAUGAGCUAAAACGCUCCUUAAUGGCUGAGAGAAAGGCCGGCCAUGUCGAGAGGAGGUUGUUAGCUUUAGCCCAUUGAAACCAGGCUGCCGCCUUCCCCUCCAUGUGGAAGGAGACGAUUCGCAGUCGAAGCUCUUCGGGAGUACCAUGAAAAUCAAAGAACUCCUCGAUACGGAAGAGCCAGCCGUGGGGGUCAGAUCCGUCGAAGCGCGGGACGUCCAUCUUCAUGGAACGCAGCAGGGGAGAGAUAUCGGUGAAAUGAGGAGGAGGAUCGGCAGUCGGAGGAGGCCGGCGGAAGUGGAGUGAAUCAAAGCGUGAGUCGACGGAGGACAUGAAGUCCUUGACUGUGGCAUUAGUAGCGGUGAUUUGAUUCUCAAGAUGGGUACGGAGAGAUUCAAUGGCAGCUAGAACAUCCGAGUGAGACAUGGCAGAGAUUCAAUUGGGCCUUGGGAUGUAACAUCCACCCUCCUUCCCAAUGACCUCCACUCCUUUUUAUCCCUGCUGCAAGUCUUUCAAUCGUAAGGAAGUUUUCACACCGUUUUUCUUGGAAGGCUCUGCUAUUCCUUCUAGAAGUGUCGCCGGAUUCCUGUUCGUGGUUUUCUGAUUGGUGACUGUGGGUGUGAACUUCACUUCGAUUGAGUGCUUGUAUCACCGGAUUCCUGUCCAUCGGUUUCCUGGUUUGGUGAUACUUUGUGGGUGUGCAAGCCAUCGGAAUCCUGUCCAUCGGAUUCCUGCUGCUGGUGGCUGUGCAAUCGAGAUUGGGGUGCUGACCUGUUUCUCCUGUUCCCUUUGAGCCGUGUUCAUUGAGCUGCCGGAAGAAGCCGUUGCCUACUGUGGGAAAAAUCUGAACCAAAGUGUCCCGAGGACACAUUUUUCCCAAACUCGAGUUUCCUCUGAUUUCCUUUUCUUUUCUCUCUUCCUUUUGGUCUCCUGUUGUUCCUUUUACUUGCUUGCUUUCUUCCCUAUUUGUGCAGAGCAGCGAAGUCGUCAAAGGCCAGAGCAGCGGAGUCGAAGGAGCAGAGCAGAGAAGUCGCGCAGCGGAGUCGAAGGCCAUUGCAGUGAAGUCGAGGCCAGCGCAGCGAAGUCGAGUGGCAGAGCAGCGAGAUCGAGUCUCCAGAGCAGCGAAUUCAAGGGUCUACAGAGGAGAAGAAGAAGACGAAGAUUCAAGUGCUUGAGCACGAGUGGGGAAGACAGGAGGUUCGGGAAACAAGAGGUGUAACCCUGGCUAGGCGAAGUUACCCAACAAGGUUUAGUUAUUUCGAUUGUUCAUAGACUUGAGUAGAUUAGCAAAGAAUACGUGCAAUCACGUGUAAACAGAAAAUUCUAAUUAAAAGUUUUCGUAAUUGUAUUUUAAUUUUAAUUCCAUUUUCAUAAUAAAUUUGAUUUCAUUUAUAAACAAUAUUAUAAGAAGCAUUUUCAGCUCUUGGAUCAUUACGGUGGAUGAUUCAUCCAGUGUUCGAAUUCCAUAUACAGGUAUGUCGAUUUUUUUUUUUUGAACUCAUCAUUUUCACGGCGAAUUCAUCAUAUUACAUAUACCGUAAAGUGAUAUUUACCGUAUUUGAUAACAUGAUAAGUAUAGUAUUGUUUGGAAUAUGGGAUAUUCACUUUAGUAGGAGUCAUUAGGUUAUUGUGUAUCCUUUCACUUAAGUAUUCCAACUGUUCGAUAAAAGUACUUAAAGAAAUCUUCCAUAUAUUGAUUACCUUGCAAAGUUCAUAGAACUUAAACGACACCCAAAAGCUUUCUGGCAUAGUCUAUACAUAGAGAUGGACGAUUAUCUUAUUUCUGGACUUGUCGAGGAUCCAAAGAUGAAGAAUUAAGAUCUGUGCUUGAGGGAACUUAUUUUGCAUAACAAAGACUUUCAUUAAUAUCUUAAUUGGAGUAUAAAAUUAGGGGCCGUUUAAUCUGUAGGAUUAGCCUUGAUAGAUAAAAAUAGUAAGGCUAACCCUUGUUUACUUUGAUGGAGGCCCUUUAUUAUUUUUAUCAUUCAAGCUAUAGUUUUGCUUGAUUCUUAUCCCAUAUAAAGAGUGGGAUUGGAGAUAUCAUACUCUUGAGGAUAAAAAUACUCAAUCAUGCAUAUAGUUGAUGGUCGACCUUACCUUACAUUCACAAAUAUGAACGAUUUAAAGCGUGACACGUUUAUAUUUAAAGUCGUACUCACGAAGUGGACCACAUUUAUCCUCUAAUCAAUGCUCUCCAUUUUUGUCCUUUCAUAAUUUUAUAGGAUAUCUUUCAGUCGAUAAACAUUAAAAUAUAAAUAACUGUAUUUGUAUUUUUGUGAAUCAAUAUAUUGGAUGGAUUAGGUUUAGUUAUUUCGAUGUUCAAUUAUUAUGUUGCUUUCGUGAACUUGCAUGUGCGGAUUAUUAGCAAAGAAUACGUGCAAUCACAUGUAAAAUGAAAAUUCUAUUUUUUUUUUUAGAAUUACAAGAGAUAUCUAUUAUAUAAUCAAAUAAGCCGCACGUACACAGGUGAGAUAUCUACACCACACAAAGGUGGGAACAAAAUCGCAUGCAGGCGGGACCAGUACCCGCACAAAGGUGUGAAAACUACAUCGCACGCAAGCGAGAUUCAACCCAAAUUUUAAUUUUCUUUCUUGCAGUAAAUGUUUAUCAUUUUUGGAUUAUUUUUGAAUCAAAUGUUGGAUAUUUAGUUUUUAUUUAAAAAAAAUUAAUUAAAUGUUAGCAAAAAUAAGUAAAUUAUUGUAUAUUUUCAGAUUCGGUAACUGAUUGCUUUAUUUUAAUUUAAUCAUUUUCACACAUCAGUUAUACUAUGUAACAUUUUUUAUCGGAUGUCCCCGAAGGGACACUAUGUAACAUUUUUAGUUACAAACAAAUGACACUUUCAUCAACAAUAAAUGAUACUUUUAUCAAUAAUAAAUGAAACCAUAUUAAGGUAAAUAGGGUAAAUAUCACUUUAGGAUAGGGUUAGACCACAAACUUGUAUUAAAAUCAAAACUAUUAACUGUGAAAACAUCAUGAGUUUGUUUAAUUCAUUAUUUAUGAGUUUCUUAUAAGAUACCCCUUCCUUCGUUCCUAUAAAAAGUAGUCAUAAAUUUUCAUUAAUUUUUGUACGUCCAUAAAAAAUAGUCAUAUUUCAUUUAUAAACACUAUCCUUACCAUUCGGAUGAGUUAAAAUAAAAUUCAUGAUAUAGACUUGGAAACAAUUUCAGCCCUUAGAUCAUGACGGUAGAUUUAUUUUAGUACGUCCAUAAGUAUAGUAUUGUUUGGAAUAUAGGAUACUGGUAGGAGUCUCUAACAAACAAAUAUAGGAGGAUUUAUUGUUUUGAUAUAUGUAUGGACACUCUUAUUUGUGGAUAGAACAAGUUACAGAUGUGCGAGAAUUAUUUUGUUGCAUAGGAUCCUUCCGAACGUAAUACUCUCUCCGUCCACGAUAUCGUUUUCAUUUUUGCUAUUUUGAUCCGUACACAAUAUCAUUUCCAUUUUUAUUUAUAGCAGUAGGGUCCACAAACCCCACUUACAAAUAAGAAGACCAACCCCCACUCAAAAUACUAUCAAUUGCUAAUCCACUACUUUAUUGAAACUCGUGCCGUCCACAAAAUGGAAACGAUAUCGUGGACGGAGGGAGUAACUGAUUGAUUUACUGUUGGAUUAAUUAAUGGAUUACUUCAUAUAUAGUGUUCCAACUAUUCGAUAAAAGUCCUUAAUGAAAUAUUGCAUAGAUUACCUUGCAAAGUUCAUAAAACCAGAACGACACCCAAAAGCAUUGUUGCAUAGUCCGUAUAUAGAGACGGACGAUUAUUUUAUUUGUAGAUUUAGAGCAGACUCGAUCGCUUAGCCCUUAUUUAUUUACGACACACACAUCACAAAAUCACACAUAUUGACGAAUAAUGUUGCCGGCCAGCUCCUUCCUGCUCCUCGCGCCAGAAUUUGUUUGCACCAUGGUGGCCUUGAAAUUCCACAAGACGAUAUCAUGGGUGGCGACGUAUGGUUGGCUUAGUCCGCUGGCGGCGGAGAGCCCUACCUGAACCUGCUCAGGAAGAAAGCCGCUCAAAUCGUACUCAUAGCUGACCUCAACCGUCUUCCAGCCGUUGGUGGCGGUGACGGUGAUCAUCUGGGUGGCUCCGACGUAGUUAAUCCGCGCACUCACCAGCUGCCUGAUUAUGCCAUCGCUGAACUCCGUCGUGUUGCUGGAUUCCCUAGAUCCGAUGUCGAUGCCGAUGUGAGGAUAGCUCGGAUCCCACGGGUUGUUGACAAAAGUGUCAAACUCGACGGCGAAGACCGAUGGGCAUUUCCGGAGACUCCGAAGAUUCCGAGGUUGCCCCCGCUGCCGCCGUUGGGGAUGGUGGAGCCGACGGGGGCCAUGAAGAAGGUGAUGCCGUCAGCGGUGAGGUUGGUGGGGCUGGGUGUGAUUAUGAAGUUUACGGUGGUUUCAAAGUCGACUUGGCCGCCGGCUUGGGAGAACUGGACCGGGUUCGAGUGCAAGACCCGGCCGACACUGCCUAUCGUCGGGAAGGUGAGGCGGAGGAAGGGGGAGUUCCAUACGAAAUGGGCGUGGCCUUGGUAGGUGAGAUCGGUCGGCAAGUCGCUCCAGAAGUCGUAGGUGAAGGACGUCGAUUGGGACUGCGCAGUGUUGGCGGCAGCGGCGAGGAGGAGGAUGAUGGAGGAGAGGAGAGGAAUUAGGGUUUGGAGGAGCUUAGCCAUGGCUUAAUUGAGUAUAUUUAGAUGUGGUGGAUGAUGGUGGUAUCUCUUGCUCCUAUUUAUAGUGAAUAGUGUAUAGAGUAUAGUGUAUAUAUGCAUGAUAUUAUGAUUUAAUUUCCUAUGAAUUAUUGAACUUUCAUCAAAUUUUUAUUUUAUAUAUAAACUUCAAAUUAAAUGUAGCGUGAUAAUCACUAAAUUUAUUUAAUCUUAUAUUUGCUACCAAUCAGGAUUCUAGCCAAAUUNAAUAUAUUGGUGUGGGUCCGUGGACGUAGGCAGUUUGGCCGAACCACGUUAAAAAUAUCGGUGUCAUUUUUCUUCUCGUUUCAUAUCGGUCGAUAUCCACAAUAUUGAGUCACACUUGAUCCCGGGCGGAAUUAGUUGUGUCUAAUUUCCCAAUAACAAUCCUGGGCGGAAUUAUUGGCGUCUAUAAUUCCCAACAACAAUAUCAUGGAUGGCGACGUAUGGUUGGCUUAGUCCGCUGGCGGCGGAGAGCCCUACCUGAACCUGCUCGGGAAGAAAGCCGCUCAAAUCGUACUCAUAGAUGACCUCAAACGUCUUCGAGCCGGCGGUGGCACUGACGGUGAUCAUCUUCGUGGCUCCGACGUAGUUGAUCCGCGCAGUCACCUGCUGUCCGACUAAGGCGCCGUCGACCUCUGUCGUGUUGCGGGAUUCCCUAGAUCCGAUGUCGAUACCGAUGUGGGGGUAGUUCGGAUCCCACGGGCUGUUGACAUAGGUGUCAAACUCGACGGCGAAGACAGAUGGGCUAUUUCCGGGAGACUCCGAAGAUUCCGAGGUUGCCCCCGCUGCCGCCGUUGGGGAUGGUGGAGCCGACGGGGGCCAUGAAGAAGGUGAUGCCGUCAGCGGUGAGGUUGGUGGGGCUGGGUGUGAUUAUGAAGUUUACGGUGGUUUCAAAGUCGACUUGGCCGCCGGCUUGGGAGAACUGGACCGGGUUCGAGUGCAAGACCCGGCCGACACUGCCUAUCGUCGGGAAGGUGAGGCGGAGGAAGGGGGAGUUCCAUACGAAAUGGGCGUGGCCUUGGUAGGUGAGAUCGGUCGGCAAGUCACUCCAGAAGUCGUAGGUGAAGGACGUCGAUUGGGACUGCGCAGUGUUGGCGGCAGCGGCGAGGAGGAGGAUGAUGGAGGAGAGGAGAGGAAUUAGGGUUUGGAGGAGCUUAGCCAUGGCUUAAUUGAGUAUAUUUAGAUGUGGUGGAUGAUGGUGGUAUCUCUUGCUCCUAUUUAUAGUGAAUAGUGUAUAGUGUAUAGAGUAUAGUGUAUAUAUGCAUGAUAUUAUGAUUUAAUUGCCUAUGAAUUAUUAAACUUUCAUCAAAUUCUUAUUUUAUAUAUAAACUUCAAAUUAAAUGUAGCGUGAUAAUCACUAAAUUUAUUUAAUCUUAUAUUUGCUACCAAUCAGGAUUCUAGCCAAAUUUACUAUUGACAUUACAAAGUCGAGGAUAUCCUAAGAUGGAUUGAAACAUUAAGAUAUUCCAAGGAUCUUAAUAAUUUCUAUCAUUUGGCAUAAUUUUAUUUGAUUCAUAUCUCAUUGAAAGAAUAUGAUUUUUAUCCCCUCCGUUCACAAAGAUUGUAUGGUGAACUCAGGACAUGAGUUUUAAUAAAUACUUCUUCCGUCCCCAAAAUAACUUUCUAUGAGAGAGGGGCACGAGUUUUAAGAUAAAAUUGUUGAGUGUAUUCGAAGUGGUUAAAAAGUGUUAGUAUUGAAAGUGAUGAAAAUGUGUUAUAAUUAGUAUUUGAAGUGGUGAAAAGGUAAAAAAAUAGAGUAAAUAUAUGGAGUAUAUAUUAGUAGAAAGUGUAGAAAGAUCCACCAAAAUUGAGUGGAGAAAAAGAUCCACUAAAAUUGAUGUGUUAAAUGGUUGAAUAUUUUGUAAAUAUUGAAUGUGAAUGAUGUUUAAAAUGUAAGGGGCGUAGUUUCUAAAUAAAGAAAGCAUACAAUCUUUAUGGACAGACGAAAAUAAUAAUAAACAUACAAUCUUUGUGGAUUGAGGGAGUGAUAAACAUUUCAUUCAUUUAUUGUGGUUUGGAAUCGAUCUUUAUCAACAUUACAUGCAUUCACAAAUAUGAAGAAGGAUUUAAAACGUGUGACACCUUAUUUUAUAUUUAAAAUCGCAAUCACGAAGAGGACCACACUUAUCCUCUAAUCAAUGCUCUCCAUUAUUUUAUAGGAAAGGAUAAACAUGAUUCUUGGUUUAUUUAUGCUUUUAAUAUAUACAAUUAGAUGAUUUUUGGGGCAAAAAGUGAAGAUUUUGAUGUCCGACGGAGUCAAGUAAAGAAGUUGAAAAAAUCGAUUUUUGAUGCAAUUUUAGAAGAUCCAAAGAUGAUAAGAUCUGUGCUUGAGGGAACUUAUUUUGCAUAAGAAAGACUUUCAUUAAUUUCUUAAUUCGAGUAUAAAAUUAGAGGAUUAAAACCACAACUAAUGUUCCUUUGGCUUUUCCUUGAACAAUGUUGGGUAGCUAGUGAAUUUUCUUUGGUAAGUUCGUCCUUUUCUUUGACAAUGAGAAUUGACGUAAAUUGGAUUGUAUUGAAGAUUCUAGUAACAUUAUUCUAGUUUAUAUUUCAUGAUUUAAGGGCUGAAAAUAUGUAAGUAUGUUAAAGGCUAAAUUUUAGGUAAAUAAGUGCUCCAUACUUUGUUAAUAUGCCACUUUACAAAUAAUGUAUGUGUGAACUUGAAUUUGUUUUUUCAUUUAAAGAGAACUAAUAAUGAUAUCCAUUUCCCCCGUGAUGAUUCGAACCCCCAACUUAACAAUUACUGGUGAAACGUUUUAUCCAUGUGAUGACUCUAACCCCCCAAUUUAUAAUUAAUGAUUGGAUGGGAAGCGUAUUGAGGUUGUUAGUGAUUCUUCCAAGGUUAUUUUGUAACUAUGAACUAUCGAUUUUGUAUCAAUUGUACCCUGCAUUUGUUUUUUAGCUAGAGAAAAUAUGAGAAAAGAAAUGAGACAUUUAAAGGCAUAAAUUUUUGUUAUCCCUCAUUUUCUCAUCCAUCAAAGUGAACGCACCCUUAAAUGAUGAUUUGAAAAAAUAAAGUGAUUGUUUCUACGCUAAACCUAAUUGCGUUCGGCCUUUUUCGUUAUUUUAGUAUUUUCCUCAUUUAUUUUCAAUUCUGUUUCCUAUAUAUGGAUAUUUGAUGUAUGAGAAGAUGCUUUCAUAUGAUCCAUUUCAGAAAUAAAAUUAUUUAUUUUCUUUCUCACGAAGAGCGCUCACUUUGACAUCAGUAUCGCAUGAGCUGCACAUAAUUAAUGAAAGAAAAUAAGCAUACACUUGCAUUAUAUAAGAAGAGCAUAUAUACUCGCAGCCGUUUCUCAUAAAUUUCACGCAGUUUUUCGAUCUUUAGAGCCGCCGGCAUGCUCGGCCGAUCUGAAGCUCCAGUAGUCGAUAUCGUGAAGGGCGACGAGGUCGCCGGUGGAGGAGGCGAUUCCGACCUGAACCUGCGACGGAAGAAUUUCCCCCAAAUCAUACUCGUAUUCGAGAAGGCGAGUUUCUUUGUCGCAUUUGAGCGUAACGUCGAUGAAAUUGAUGCCGUCGUAUUGUAUGUGCAGCUGCGCCUCUUUCCCGAUGCACGAAUCGCCAAAUUUCACGAAGUUGCUCGACUUUAUCGAGCUGAUGUCGAUGCCGAUGUGCGGGAGAUCGUGGCUCGGAUCCCAACCGUUGGAGUAGAGGUCGAAUUCCACGGCAAAGAAGGCGGAGGCGGCCGGGCUAUCCCCCGAGGGGUUGAAUAGGCCUAGAUUGCCUCCGUAGGAACCCGGGGGGAUGGUGGUCCCCACGGGCGCCAUGAAGAAGGCGAUGCCGUCCGCGGCCGGGCCUUUUGUGGGGGUGAUGGUGAAUUUUAUGGUGGUAUUGAAAGAUACUACAAUUGAAUUUUCCCACAAUUUGAAGGGUUUGGAGUACAAUACGCGGCCGAUGCUCGACGGCCGUGGAAGGCCGUUGGCGUCGGUCUUGGUUAGCCGGAGGGAACGGGCGCCGUCGGGGACGUGGGCGUCGCCCUGGUAGGUUAGGUCGGUGGAGUUGGCGACGAAGGAGGUGAAGGUGAAGGAGGUCUUUUGUGAGGUCGCCUUGUUUGCUAGCAUUAGGAAAAAUGCUAUGCAAAAGAGGAGAAGAAUUAGGGUUUGUAGAAGCUUGGCCAUGGCUUGAUUUGAUGGGUGGAGUAUUAUUUGGAUGUAGUGAAUAGUGGUUGGCUCUCUAGCCCUAUUUAUAUUGGUUUAAUGCCACAUUCCAUUAUUAGUUUAAUAUAUUGUAGCUCACUAUUUUUUUUGAACUUUAUGGAGAAGGCAUGAGUUUUUUAAAAAAAUUGAGAAAUGUGUAUAAAAUGAAUAAAGAGGCUCACUAAAGUUGAUUUGGCAGGUAUUAAUAAAUUAUUUGUGUGAUGAGUUUUUUGUAAAUAUUGUGUGUGAAUGAGGGUAAAAUAUAAAGGUACAUAUGUCUUAAAAGGGACGGAAAUGACAAAUACUUAUUGUGGAUAAAGGUAGUAUAAUAUACGGAGUGUAUACUUAAGUUUAUCAAUUUUAUUACUAAAUUAAAUAUGGUUAAUUUAAUAUCAAUAUGCUUAUUAGUAAUUAGUAUUACUCCAUUCAUCCCAAAAACAUCAAUCUUUACUUAUUUUUUCGUUCGUCUCCAAAACAUCUUCCUAAUCUAUUUUUAUGUCCUGUAUUAAAUUUUCAAGCUAGUUUCACUCCCCAACUAUCGUUUAAAUUAUACAUACAUAUAUGGACGACUUGAAAAUUUGUUAAGGCAAUUGAUUAUGCCCAUGCCGUAUAGAAUCAAAAACCAUUCCUAAACAAAAAAUAGAAUAAUUAAGAAAAUAAUCUAGAAUAUAAAUAUAGAACUUAAAUUCUUUGCCACAAAUUUAAGUCAAUCAGCCGACAUAGUAAAUGUAUGUGUUUACAAGUAAUCAUGCCUUGUCUUGAGAUUCAAGUUGGCAAUUGAAGCAAAAUUUCUCACACAUAGCUAUCUACUCUAGCUAUGAAAUCAUGCAUUGUCUUGAGAUUUAAUUUGGCCCAUGAAUCCAAAUUUUGCAAUCAUGCCAUGUCUUAAGAUUCAAUUUGGCCCAUGAAACUAAAUUUCUUGAGCCUAUCUCUAACCUCUUUGAUAUUCAUAUAUAAUAACACCUUUAAAACACACACAACCCACUUCUAAAGUUCUACAUGUAUACACACGAACUCAUGCUUAUGUCACAAAUUAAGUUUUUCAAAAAUAAACUUUUCCCUAUUUGAAUUCCUUAUGUAUUCAGUUUGUUUUUAAUAUUUAAACUAUGUUAUUACAACAAAAUUAUCUAGCAGGGACAUGAUUUUAGCAACAUAAAAAAAGAUGUCAUAAAUUUCUUACUCCCUCCGUCCUCCGAAGCUUGAUCAACAAUUUCUUUUCGGCACGGAGUUUAAGGAGUUAAUAUUUUGUAUGUUAAUUAGUGUGGUAGGUGAAAAAAUGAAAAGAUGAAUAACGGGAAAAGUUGUUGCCAUAUAAGGAAAGUGAUCAAGCUUCGCGGAUAACCCAAAAAUGAAUACUGCUCAAGAUUCGCUGGAAGAAUGAAGUACAAUUUUAGGCAUAACAAAAAUUUAUUUACAUCCACACAUGCAUGCACCGAUACUUUAUCACAUGCAAAAUUACAAGUAACUUUGCUAAUUACAAAAAUUAAUACAUGAACCCUCAAAUGUCACUAGAUGUAAUGAUAUUUUUAUAUUUUUUCGACACACAUAAUAGUUACUCAUCACAAAAUAUCAAUAUUUUUAUCAUAUAGUGAUAUUUAUAAGUUUCACAAUUUUUCAAAUAUUAUGUCAAUGCUAGCUUAGACAUUUUGUUUUGACACUUUGUAUUGAAACAUGUUUUUUACAAAAAUAAAAUAAUUGAAUUUAUUAACGAAUAUUUAAACAAUCAAUCAAUAAUAACUACAAAGUGAAGCAAUUCAAGUUAAAAGGUAAAUUCUAAAUUUAAAUUUGAAAAACAAGAAAAUUCGAGCCUUAAUUUUUUUUAUUUUUUUAUAUACGCACUACAAAUCUCCCAUAAAUCUUAAAUCAAAAUUUAACCUUACAACAAAAAAUAAAUAUAUAAACUAAAAUGGAGUAUGAUAAUAUAGUUUUAUCAAAUUAUUUGAUAAUUCUAUUAAUAAAAGAUAAAAAAAAAAAUAAGGGGGGCCCACGGGCAUGCUGCCCCCAUAUGCUAUGGACCAUGGUGGCUAGGUCACUGCGCUCUCGAGAUCUACACUAUUUAUACGUGGUAUUCAUUGCGAAUUAUUUUGCAUUAUCUUUGUUUAUUUUUCUUAUAUUGGGAAAGAAAACAUGAGUAAUAUAUAGUAAUCUUUUAGAAGUCCAGUUACCAAUGUCGUCAAAAUUAUCUUGUCUAUUUUUAGAAGUUCAGAUAAACAUGCAACACAUUUUCAGAAGAAAUUUAAUAAUCUCUUACGAUUUACAUUUAUUUUUUAAAUAAUUAUCUCAGUGGUGAUAAAAUAAAAAAAUCGACUACAUUUUUCUAAGUAAUUUAUUAGAUACAAAAUAUUAUGAUUUAUGUUUGUAUAUUUUUUGUUUCCCAUUAGUGCAUUAUCAUUUCUAAGUAUCUUCUCACUUGUUCACUGAUUCACUAUUGGAUUAACAUGAAUAUACGAAUUUCAUAGUAUACCAACUGUUCGAUAAAAGUCCUAAAAGAAAUCUUCCAUAGAUAACCUUGCAAAUAACAGGAAACUAAAAUUACUCCCAAAGCAUUCCAUACAUAGAGAUGCGGAUUACCUUAUUCGUAGACUUAACGAGAGUACACUCGAUCGCUAGUCCUUAUUUACGACCCAAACUACACAUACAUUACAAAAUCACACAACUUGACGAAUGUUUCCACCGAGCUCCUUCCUGCUCUUGGCAGCGACGCCGACGUUUUGCACCAUGGUGGCCGUGAAAUACCACGCCACGAUGUCGUGUCUGGCGACGACUUGCCCCGUGGAGGCGGAGAGCCCGACUUGGACCUGCUCAGGAAGGAAGCCGCUCAAAUCGUACACAUAGCUGACCUCGAACGCUUUCGAGCCGGCGGUGACGUGGACGUCGAUCAUCUUCGUGGCGGCGGCGUAGUUGAUCCUUGCCGUCACCUGCUGCCCGAUUAUGGAGCCGUCGACCUCCGUCGUGUUGCCGGAUGACCUAGAGCCGAUGUCGAUGCCGAUGUGGGGAUAGUUCGGAUCCCACGCGCCGUUGACGUAGGUGUCGAACUCGACGGCGAAGACCGAGGGGCUGCUGCCGGAGGAGCCGAAGAUUCCGAGGUUGGAUCCGCUAGAGGAGGAAGGGAUGGUGGACCCGACGGGGGCGAUGAAGAAGGCGAGGCCGUCGGCGGCAGAGUUGCCGGGGCCAGGUGUGAUGAUGAAGUUUACGGUGGUUUCAAAGUCGACUUGGCCGCCGGUUUGUGAGAACUGGACCGGGUUCGAGUACAAUACCCGGCCAACUUUGGCGGUCUGUGCGUCGGUGAGGCGGAGGAAGGUGGAGUCCGACGGGAAAUGGGCGUCGCCUUGGUAGGUGAGGUCGGUCGGCUGGUCGCCCCAGAAGUCGUAGGUGAAGGACGUCGAUUGGGACUGCGCCACGUUGGCGGCGGCGAGGAGUAGGGCGACGGAGGAGAGGAGAGGAAUUAGGGUUUGGAGAAGCUUGGCCAUUGCUUAAUUGAUUUGGAUGUGGUGGAUGAUGGUGAUAUGUCUUAAGCUUGCACUCCUAUAUAUACUAGUGUAGUUCAUGCAUGAUAAUGUUGUUUAAUCAUCAUAUAUUUUAUUUCAUUAAAAUGAAUCACCUCGUCCAUUCGAGGUAAAUGAACCAUGUGAUCUUAUGUACUACCAGCCACAUUUUAAUUUGCUCGUUGGAAUAUUAUCUAUAGUUGUAUCUAUUGUAUUUGUAUAAAUGAUUUUUGGAAGGGAACUUAGAAAAAGUUCUUGAUAGGGGCUGUAUUUUUUAAUUUCAAGUGCAAAAUUAAGUUUUGAUAGACAAUUUACUUAUGAUUCAAUUUAACGAUCGGGUUUUCUGAAAAAAAAAAAUUCACACAAAAAAUCGAUUAUUUAAUAAUUUUAUAAGAAAAAAGAAGAAGAAGAAAUUUUCUAUUUAGGAUAUACACGAGCAGAUGAGAUCCUCUGUCCCACUAUUUUGUGUGUACCACCAUGUACCAUUCUUAAUUUAUUUAUUUUAGUAAUUAUUUUUUAUAAAAAUAAAAAUUAUUAUUAUAUUUUUUAUUUUCAUUUAAGUGAGUUACUAGAUUUAUUUGGGGUGAGCACAGGUUAUUUUGGAAAAGGAGAAUAUCUGUAAGAUGAUGUGAAAAUUAUUCAAUAUAAGCACAUAUAGGGGUUGAGUUCUCAAAGGAACUUAAUUAAUAUCCAAUGUGAUUGAUACAUUUCGACUAAAUGGAUGGACUGUGACGCCCCGACCAAAAGUAAAGAGUGAUUGUGAUCGGUGCACAAGGCAUGGAUGAAAAGCGGUUCCUAGUAAUGCUUCGAUACGGAGGAUACAUGAAUGAAUCGAAACACACCAGAAAGAGAGGGAUUCCAUGAGUACGUACGCAGGUAUAUGACUGCAUAUUCGAGGAGCUUAAAUAAUUUUAUUGGUGUUACUCAUAUCAACAAGAUGCAUCUUCUUUUUUGGUGACCAUAUGAAAUAAACUCCAAGGUUAAGCGUGCUUGGCGUAGAGCAACUUGAUGAUUGGUGACCUCCCUAAGAAGUUUAUCAGAAAGCGUGCUAGUAAGAACAAAACAUGCUAGAAAAGACUCAUAUUAGUCUGUGGGGACAGCCGUUAAAUUUGGAUUCGGGUCUUUACAAGUGGCAUUAGAGAUUAACCUCUCACAGUAUGGUGCGGUUCGGGAACGAACCAAGCGGAAGUUGGUACUCAAUAUUCCAUCUAUUGUGAGUUUCUUUGUCUUCUUCAUCUUUCUUUUACUCUGCUGUCGAGUUUCAGAGAGUAAUCAGAUAGGUUUUCAUUCGAGUUGAGUUUCUUGAGUGAUAAACUGUUAAUUGUGAGUUUCAUUCGAUCAUUUGUUGAUUAUAAAUAUCUGCACAUGGAUAUUGGUCAAUUUAGAUACACUGAUCUUCAAAUUGAUUGACGAAUCUUUAGAAUUCAAAAUUUAAAUCAAAUACGCGUGUUCAUAGUUAAUUGGUAAGUACACUUUUUUUUNAUAUAAAUAUAAUUGACUCGAGAUCUCUGCUACUUACGCAUACUUCGCUCGAGACAAAAAUAAAUAAUUGAUCAUUGAGAACUCCGCUACCACACCAUACUCGUGUACUAUUUAUCAUUGUUUAUGAUUAUUAAUAAAGACGUGUCUUUGCCUGAUAAAUUUAAUUUUCAUACUCUUGAUUCUUUUUUGGCCAUAUCAUUUUUUAAAAAAUUGGGAGGGGAAUGGUGGAAAUUGAAUAUGAAAAAUACCAGUCAAAUGAUACAUGUGCACUUUCAAAGACAAAACAUAAAUGUAACCUUCGUUUGUAAAACAUAGAAAUUCUACCAUAUAUUUGUGAUUAUUUUACCUUUAUACGAUCUAUUUAUAUAUAUUUAUUAGAAUUAAUAAAAAUAUACUACAUUCGUCCACGAAAAAGAAUCUCAUUGUGUGCUGGAUGUGAGUCGUAUCGAGAGUGAGAGGGAACACAUUGUCUCCGGUCUCUGCCGUCUUGGCGAGAUCUUCGGCAUUGGCCUGAUCCGGCCGCUGAGGUGGCCGGUAGGUCAUCCAUGGAGUAUGGCUAUAUUCAUACUCGUAUCCCAUUUUGGUUGUAGAACAAGAAGGCGGUGUUGUUGAAAUCGUCGUCGUUGAUAUCCUUUGGAAAACCGGCUGGGAUAGUUUUCGCCAUUAGAGUGAUGUGCGUAGAAGAGAGGAUCUUCCGGCGGUCUUCGCGGAAACCGUUGUCGCGUGUCCAUAGUUCAUGGAUUGAAAAUAUGCAGGUAAAGCACCCGGCGUACUCGGCCAUACAAUUAACUCGCCAUCAUGAGCUAUAAUUCUAUUCGAGUAAGUUCAAUCUCUAAUGAAUUAAUAUAUUUUUAUAAAUAUAUAAUUUGCAAAAUAACCUUAAAAUAAAAUAUGUAAUAAGGGUAAAAUAGGCAAUCCACAUGUUGUGCUCAAUGCUCUUUUUAUAUUACUAGGAGAAAGAUAAUUAAUGUUAUUUUAUCUAAUAAAAUAAAAAAUAUAAAUAUAAUAUUUAUUAUAUUUAAAUUUUUAAUUAACAAUUUUGUUUAUUUAAUUCUCUUAUCUCUUACAAUAUUUUUUUUUAGAAAAUCUAUUAGUUCAUUACUUCGACUAAAUAUAAUUUAUUGGAUAGAUAUAUUUAUUUAUAAGCCUUAUCAAUAGCUAUAGAUAUAUAUUACAUAGAUUUAAUGUAAUAUUUAAUGAAUCAAUAGCUCUUUUCUUUUAUAUUAGUAUAGAUUAUAUAGAUAGAUAUAUAUAGUGCAUGCAUGAUAAUGUUGAUUGAUCAUCGUAACUAUAUAAUUUAUUGCACUAAUAAUGAAUCACGUUCCCACUCGAGGUAUAUAAAAUGAAUCAUGUGACCUUUUCUACUACCCGACACAUUUUGCUCCUUGGAAUAUUAUUUAUAAUUGUGUCUAUUGUAUAGUGCAUGCAUGAUAAUGUUGUUUAAUCAUCAUAAAUCUUCAUGGCUCAUCCACCUCAUCCAAUCGAAGCAUAUAAUGAACCAUGUGAUCAUAUCUACUACCUGACACAUUUUGCUUCUUGGAAUGCUAGCUAUAAUUGUAUCUAUUGUGUGAAUGUAAGCAAAAGGGCGCGCACAAUUUUUUAUUUUUUUUUGGAUAGGUGACUCGCUCAAAAUACCUAUUGAAUUGACUCGUAAUCGCACGAGGUCAUUCUAGCGUAGUAAGCUAACCCAUGUCGUAUCUCACAAGGAAGAUUAAGCAGGACGACUAAUUUUGGAUUAUUUUUAAUCAAAUGUUGGAUAUUUUUUAAUUAGAGUAAAAUUAAAAUAAGUAAAUUAUUGUAUAUUUUCAGAUUCGGAAACUAAUGGCUUUAUUUUAAUUUAAUCAUUUUCAUAUGUCAGUUAUAUUAUGUAAAUGACGUUUUUAGUAACAAACAAAUGACAUUUUAAUCAAUAAAUGAUACUUUUAUCAAUAAUAAAUGAAACCAUAUUAAGGUAAAUAGGGUAAAGGUUAGACUUAACUGUGAAAGCAUCAUGAGUUUUAUGUGUAACAUUUUCGGUGUGAAAAUUGAUGAGUUAAAAAAAAUGCUCCAUAUUGAAUUCGACAUUAGAUGAAUCUACAGUAGAUUUUCAUGCAUGAUCUAAGAGCUGAAAAUGAUUCACGGUCUAUAUUUAUUCUAUCAAAUUCCAUAUCACUUUAAAUCUCAAAUUACAUUUGCACUAUAUAUGAUUAUAUCCUAAAUUAUCAUAAAUAUGAACCGCUUAAAUCUGGCGUCGUUGCACCGCGGACAUCUUGCCGCUGCUUUCUCCCACCAUUGCCCUUGCUGCCCUCAUCUUAGGUGCCAAUUUUUUGCUCGUCGUGCAGAAUUUGAAAGGGGUAAAUUAUUUUUUCAAUUUUUUAUUGCAUUUUGCUGUCUAAGUUGAUUUCUCAAGUAAAGUGGACUUGGGUUUUGUUUCGAUUAUAGCUGAAUUCGAUGGCGCUGUGUGGUUAGAUCUGUAAUUUUGACGUGUUGUUGAAGUGUGCGGGAUUGAAUGUGAUCUGGGAGAAUUUAAGGGUUUUGGGACGUUAGUAUGAUGAUGGUGGGAUUUGAAUGAAUUUGAAUACCAGAUUAUGGUUGAUGUUUAAUUAUGUGAAUCUUGCGAUCUGUGUUGAAAUUAAUGUACAGUAUCUUCGCCUAGCCGGGGGUUCACCAUUUGGUUCCCGACCGUCCUGCUGCCUUCACUCCACACUCAAGUGCCAAUAUCUUCUUCUCGUUUCUCUUCCUUCUUCUUCUCCUCUUAGUACCUGCAAGACAGAAGGAAAAACCAGCAAGUAUAAAGAAAAAUCAGAAAACUUAAAGAAGUAAAGAAAGAAAGAAAACAAAGGAAACUCGAGGUGGGAAAAAGGUGUCCUCGGGACACAGGUGGCUCAGAUUUUUCCCACAGUGGCAACACACUCCGGCAGCUCAAAGACCACGGCACAAAGGGGAAGGGAAGUCAGAUCGGAGCUCAAAUCUGACGAGCACAGCCACCAAUAAUCAGGAAUCCGGUGGACAGGAUUCCGGCGGCUCAGAAAUCCUUCGCUUUAUCACCAAACAGGAAAUCUAAGGUCAGCAAUCCGACAAUAAUGCUAUCAACAGGAGGAAGCUCUCACUUUACGGCCACAACACCGGAAACCAGAACGGAAACCAGAGAACAGAAGGAAUAGCAGAGCCUUCAAGGUUGUGAACAUACUACAGAACUUCCCCCAAUCGAUUGCUUUAUAACCGAGACAGAGAAGGGUCGGGAAGAUGUAGUGGGCUUUGGGAAGGAGGAGGAAGCCAUUAAUGGUGGUGGAGCUCGAGGGAAAGCGAGAUCAGCAGUCGUGAAGACUUAGGGUUUGGGAGGGGAUUUGAGGUGGAGCGGCGGAGGUUGAAAUGAGGGAAAGGCCGAGUGAGAGAGGGAGUAUUUCAGUGGAUAAUGGGCUAGGGUAUUUUUGAGUUAACGGGCUAUAGGUGUCUGGGCCCAAAAGUUGGGCCAGAGAAGGGAUAAAGAGCAUUGGGCCAACAUUCCACAAUUAAGACAAUUAAGAGUAGAAAUUCUUCUUGAUUUGCUAAUUUAUUUAGGAUUAGCGAUAUUAGUUUGGAGUUUUAGAUGUCGAUUGAUUUCGUGAUCUUGAUUUAUGUGAUAAAUGCCUCUCAUCACUAAGAUUUGGAAUAUAUUGGAUAUCUAGGAUAGUGAUAUUAGUUUGGAGUUUUAGAUGUUGAUGUGUCUUUUUAGGCUGCGUUUACUUUGAUGGAUAAAUUUAUAUAUGGAAAAGGAUGGAUAACACAAAUUUAUGCUUUUAAAUGUCUCCUUCCUCUUCCAACAUUUGACACAAAAAGAGAUGCUCGCUAUUUUUUCUUCCUUAUCUUCACUUCAAGGAUGGAUAAUAUUAUCCCUCCAUUUUGGUGUGAUAAUAUUAUCCAUCAUUGAAGUGAAGAUAAGGAAGGAAAAAUAGUAGAGCAUCUCUUUUUGUGUCAAAUGUUGGAAAAGGAAAGAGACAUUUAAAGGCAUGAAUUUGUGUUAUUCAUCAUUUUCCAUAGAUAAAUUUAUCCAUCAAAGUAUACGAAGCCUUAUGUGAUAAAUGCUUUUUUAGGGGGGCCCACGGGCAUGCUGCCCCAUAUGCUAUGGAGUAUGGACCAUGGUGGCUCGGUCACUGCGCUCUCGAUUGCGAAUUAUUUUGCAUUAUCUUUGUUUGUUUUUCUUAUAUUGGGAAAGAAAACAUAGAGUAAUAUAUAUUUUAGAAGUCCAGUUACCAAUGUCGUCAAUCUCGAGUGAAAAUAAAUAUUACCAUAACACAAAAAUGACAAAGCUAUUGAUUAGUGACGAUAUGUUAGAAGUUCAGAUAAACAACACAUUUAUUCUUGUGUAUAUUAUAUUAACGUUUAUUAUAUAUUAUAAAAAGAACAUAUUCUUUCAAAAUUAUCUUGUCUAUUUUUAGAAGUUCAGAUAAACAACACAUUUUCAGAAGAAAUUUAAUAAUCUCUUACGAUUUACAUAUAAUUUUUAAAUAAUUAAUUAUCUCAGUGGUGAUAAAAUAAAAAAACGAAGUAAUUUAUUAUAUACAAAAUAUUAUGAUUUAUGUUUGUAUAUUAUUUGUUUCCAUUAGUGCAUUAUCAUUUCUAAGUAUCUUCUCACUUGUUCACUGAUUCACUAUUGGAUUAACAUGAAUAUACGAAUUUCAUAGUAUACCAACCGUUCGAUAAAAGUCCUCAAAGAAAUCUUCCAUAGAUAACCUUGCAAAAGUACGUGUAUCUAUAUUAAUAGAAUAAGAGCCUAAGGAAUCUUAAAACACAAUUUUUGGAUUGCCUAUUUUACCACUAUUAUAUAUUAUUUUAAAAUUAUUUUACAUAUUAUAUAUUAAUAGGAAUAUAUUAAUUCAUUAGAUAUUACACUAAAUCUAUGUGAUAUAUUUCUAUAGCUAUUGAUAAGGCUUAUAAAUAAAUAUAUAUCCAUCUAAUAAAUUAUCUAAUAAAAGUAAUGAAUUAAUAGAUUUUUUAAAAUAAUAAAUUAUCAAAUAAAAUAACAUUAAUUACACACGUACGUUCUUUCUGCUAGCUAGUUAAAUAAAAAGAAGAAGAAACUGAGACUGAAAAAGGGAGAAUUAAGAUAGUCCAUUAUUAUCGUCUUAUUUUUAGAACUUAAACGAGAGAAAAGUCCAUCGCUAGUCCUAAUUUACAACACAACACAACACAUGAUAAUAAAUUUAAAUCACACAUAUUGCCGGAUGUACCCUUCCUCCUCUUUGCCGGCGGCGGCAUGCACGAGGGUGGACGUGAAAUACCACGAGACGAUGUCGUGCACGGCGUCUUGGCCUCCGGUGGCCGCGGAGAUCCCGACCUGAACCUGCUGAGGAAGAAUGGCGCUCAGGUCGUACACAUAGCUCACCUCGUAUGUUUGCGAGCCGGCGGCGAGGCUCACGCUGAUCAGCUUAGUGGCUUCCAGGUAGUUGAUGCGCGCAGUCACCUGCUGCCCGAGCAACGCGUUGCCGACGUUGGUCACGUUUUUGGAAACAUUAGAUUCGAUGUCGAUCCCGAUAUGGCGAUAGCUAGGAUCCACUCCGGGGUUGGAGAAGACGUCGAAUUCCACGGCGAAGACGGCGGGGCCGACGCCGGAGGAGUUGAAGAUUCCGAAGCAGCCGCCGGUGAAGCCGAGGGGUAAGCCGACGGGGGCGAUGAAGAAGGUCACGCCGUCGGCGGGGUUCGUGUCGCCUGCGUUGGGGGUUACGGCGAACGUCAGGGUGGUCUCGAAGUCGACCUGCGCGCCGGCCUCCCAGAACGUGAUCGGGGCUGAGUACACGGCCCGGCCGACGCUGUACUGGACCGCGCUGCCGGAGCUGGUGGUGUUGGUCAUGCGGAGGAAGGUGGAGUCCGACGGGAAGUGGGCGUCGCCUUGGUAGAGGAGAUCGGUCGGCUGGUCGCCCCAGAAGUCGUACGUGAAGGCUGUCGAUUGGGACUGCAUGCGCCGUGUUGGCGGCGGUGGCGAGGAGGAGGGCGAUGGAGAUUAGGGUUUGGAGAAGCUUGGCCAUGGCUUAAUUGAGUUAGUAGUAUUUGCUUUGGAUGUGGUGUGAUGAUGGUGUAUUGGUGUUAACUCUUGCUCCUAUUUAUGCUAGUAUAGUGCUUGAAUGAAAAUGUUAUUUAAAUUAACAUCAUAUUUUUUAUUACACAAAAAUGACUCACCCCAUCUUCUCGAGAUUAACUGAACUUGUGAUCUCUAAUAAUUUAUAACCUACCACAUUGUAGUUGUUGGAGUAUACUCCCUCUGUCCCGGUUUUAGCACGAGUUUUAAUAAAUUGGUUGAUUGUAUUAUGAGUAGAAUAAGGAUAAUAUUUUUUAUGGAAGUGUUAAAAUAAUUAAAAUUGAGAAAAUGUUUCACCUAUUUUUAUUAAAAAUAGAAAUGAAUUUUAAAAUAUGGGACGACGGCCAGAAAAAGAAAAUAUAUAUGGAUACUAAAAGUUGGGACGGAGUGAGUAUUAUCUAUAGUGGUAUCUAUUGUAUGAGUACAAGAGAUUUACUUGACUUGUUGAGGUAUGGAGAGAUUAUUACAAACCACGUGAAAUUGAGUUCUUGCUCCCACUGUAAAAGCAAUAAAUAUAGGGAAAAGAAAAUUAAUACUUCCUUCGUCCAAGAAAUGAGUACACAUAUUUCUUUUUUAGUCCGUUCAUGAAAUGAGUACUCAUUAAUUUUUCUUUUUAUCAAGUGUACCUCACACAACCCUUUAAUUAAUUAAUACCUUUAAAAAGUGGGUCCCUUAUUCCACUAACACCACACUCAAUCAUUUCUUAAAACCUGUAACGUCCCCAAAUGAGAUUCAUUUCGUGGAUUGAGUAAAUUCUAUACUACAAAUUAAUGGUUCGAAUUCACUUUAAAAAAUAAACUACAAUUAAGAGUCCCUCUCUUAAUUGGAAUUCAUAGACCAUCUGCUUCAGUCGUGCCCGAAGACAGAAAAGGUUUGGAUUGGAAUUCAUAGGUGGCUAGGGAAUAAAAGCAGUGUGGCCUCAAUCAUUGAAGCACACUUCGAUUUGUUCACAAAUCUUGACAAAGGAAAGGAAGGUCGAUUUUUCUAGCGACAGUAUGGGUCUAUACCAUUUGGUUGCUGUGGAAAUGACGUAACGAGAGCAGAUUUGAGGGCAAGACUUGGGAGAUCAAUGACGUGAUCGAAGAAGUGAAAGUGAGGAUGUGGAGUUGGAACAAGAUUUUUGGACUACAUGUUAAAGAGAUUAGCUCUCAAUCUUGGUUUUCUUGUGAAACUCCUCUUGUUUUGUGUAAUUUGGUCGUAUCUCUGGUACCAAACUCUCUCCUAAUAAAAUUUCUUUUCUGAUUAAAAAAAAAAAAAAGAGUCCCUCUCUUAAUCAAGUAGACUGGAUGCGGUAAGAGAGAAAUCACUUCCAACUUAUCGAUUUUACUAGCAACAACUAGAUUUAUACUGAAGCUAAAUUGGAUCAGACUCUAGGAUUCACUAGUCUUUUACUCAAGGUGAGUCGGUUUACGAGUCUCAAACUCAAGGUGAACUAGAAUGUCUGUCAAUACGAACGUUGGGAGUUCGAGGGUUUUUUAGGACAGUAACUUAGAUUGAUUUGGAAAUUAGGACAAUAACUUUCGGACUUGUAAAAAUAGGACUCUAAUUCUUUUUAAGAGUAAAAUAGGACACUAAUUAAUAAGUGUUACAUCCGCAGGACAUUUUUCGGCCAAUUAUCGGCCGAGAAAUGUCCUACUUUUACGACGCUUAUUAAUUAGUGUCCUAUUUUUACAAAUUCGAAAGUUUUGUCUUAAUUUUCAAAUCAACAUAAGUUAUUGUCCUAAAAAAUCCCCUGACUCCGAACGUUGGAACAAGCUCGGCAAUAUACUGCUAUUCAACAUUAAUGGCACUUUGCACUAAAUGAAUUGGUGUCGAAUUAAUACAUCGUCUUGCUGCUCAUAUCUAUAUAAUAAAUGCAUACCUGCACCUCGAUAUUAAUCAAUUUAGAUACACUAAAUCUCGGAUAUACUUAACAAAUGGAUUAAUAAAUGUAUAAAUUUUAGAUUUCAGAAAAUCAAAUACAGGUGUUCAUAAGGAAAUGAUUAAAAACCCGUGUGUCAUUUAGAUAAGAUUAUUAUAGUACAGUUAACGAUGGUGAAAUAUUCUUUUACAUUAGAUAUAAUAGCAUUCCAGAUCUCAAUGGCAUUUUUUGUUAUAACAAAAAAAAAUUGUAUAUGUUCCAUACUAUCCUCAAACUUCAAAUUAUUAUUUUUCUUUAUUUUAAAAUUUGUAUUGGCACAUAUCUGUCAAUUAAUCAAAUUCAUAUCAAAACAAUAAUUCGAAUGAUAUAUUAGUUGGCUAGCUAUAAAUUACAAAUUAUUAGUGAUUAGGCAUGUUUUACACAAAUUAUUAGCCCAAACAACAUUUGAUUGUGUGCAAUGCACACACUUACUAAAAGCAGAUGUGAUCAUCUGUCCCACAAUUUAGUGUGUAUCACCGUGUACCAUUCUUAAUUUGUCUAUUUUAUAAUUAUUUGUUGUAAAAAUAAAAAAAAUAUUGUUAUAUUAUGAACUCUAAUUAAAAUUUAUAACUAAAAAUAAAAAUUAAAAAAAAUUAUAUACCCUAACUUUGAAUUAAUUAACCCAAAUAAUCAAUUAUUAAUUCAAAUAAAUAUAAAAAAUAAUUAUAAACUCUAAUUGAAUGAGUGAACCCUUAUUAAUUAGUUUCUUAUUAUAUUAUAAUAAAUUAAAAUUGAAGAAAAUAUAAUUAUAUAUUAUAAUAAAUUAAGAGUGGUACACGGUGGUACACACUAAAUUGUGGGACAGAUCCAUGUGCACUAAAUUAUAGGUACGGAGGUGCGGAUGCGGGGGCGAUACGAUACGAGUACGGGGAUACGGGUUCUAAAAAAUUAUAGGGUGCGAUUCGGCAAGGAUACAUCUAAUUAUUAAAAUUUUAUGAUAUACUAAUUGUUAGAAAUGGAUAUUGGGCCAAUUCCUCCCUUAAAAGGCCUUAUAAGGGAGAGGGUUACCUCACCAUAUAAAGUGGCUCAUGCCACUAUCUCCAAUCCAAUGUGGGACACUUCAAUACUAAUGCUUAUAAAAUAUAUACAAUUUAAAUUUUCUUAAAUUAAUUAUAUGUAAUUUACAUUUUAUUUUACCCAAAAGUUAAGCAUUUUCAAUUAUAUAAGUUAAUUGAGCAACAAUAUAACGAUUCAAAUAUUAUUAGUCCAAUAUAUAAGUCAUAACUGAAAAUAAAAUUAUCAAAAUAACCUUGUGUAGGCCUUUCGUGCACGAGAUACGUGAAUUUCGCCUAUGGAAUUUGCAAAUCCGGUUUAUUUUUAUAAAUUGUUUUAAAAGAUACGCACUGGUGAAUCGGUGCGAAUCCGACAAGAAUUCGAGAAAUCACACCCUAAAAGAAUCCGAUUCGCCGUACAUCUAAUUUUUGAAGAAUCCGUGCAUCAUAGGUGAGAAGAAACACAAGAGAGUAAAAUGGUACAUAAUGUAGAAAGACUUUUCUCCAAAAUAAAUGUUACAGUCUUCUAAUAGUCGAAAGGCGCAUGAAAAUGCGCAGUUAUUCGAAAGAAAGGAAAGGCUUAUUCAGCCACACAAUGACAUGGAAUUCGAAUUGAAAUUGAAAUUCAGACAAAUCCCAAACACGGUGAUGCAGAGAUCAAGCGGUAACACGAGGAAUGAUCUUAAUACCACCGAUGGUAACUUCGUCGCCGUUAAUGUGGGGAACGAUGGUGACGACAAUGAAAUCAUCAUCAGCAAUAUUGAUGUUCUCAUAGAGCUCCCUCAAGUUCAAGCGAAGGUCGUUGGCGCUUUCCGCAGCCCUAACCCUAUGCGGAAUCUGCGUGAAACUGCCGGCGAACUCGGCCCUGGCGAGGUCCUCUGGCUUGUCGUCUUCGUCAUUCACGAACACAUCGAACCUCACGAGCUUCGAACUAUCGGUGAUUAUGUUCUCCAGCACGAGCACUUCGUCGGCUUUGCCUUUGGUUGGUUUGGGCACCAAAACCCUGUGAGUCUUGUUGAGAGUGAGAGGGAACAGAUUGUCUCCACUCUCUGCCCUCUUGGAGAGAUCUUCGAUAUUCACCGGCACCUCCCUCCGCGGUGGCCGGUAGGCUGUCCACGGAGUUUCGCUGUGUUCAUACACGUAUCCCAUUUUGGUGUGGUCCAAGCAGUCGGCCACCUUGACGCGCACGAGGUUCUUCUUCUCGUCGUAGAACAUGAACGCCGCGUUGUUGAAAUCGUCGGGGUUGGGGACGACGAGGUCGUUGAUAUCCUUGGGGAAAACGGAUGGGAUAGUUUUCCAUAUGGUCCACAUUCUGUCGACGUUAGCGUGAUGUGCGUAGAAGAGAGGGUCUCUUCCGGCGGAGUAGAAGUUCCCCAUGUCUUCGCGGAAAUCGUUGGCGGGGUUUCCGGUCCAGACGUGGACGCCGCCGUGUGAGCCGCCCUCCGACAAUCCUCCCUUGGCGCGUGGCGGGGGCAAGUCCCCGGAAACGUAAGGAUCGCCCAUGAAGUCGAUGGCGGAUUCGACAUCACCAAUCAUUUCCUUGUACAUCUGAGUGAGAUUGUUUUCGAUGAUCGUUACAGGAUCGGUGAUCGGGGGGGUGGUUAUGGCAAGAGCAACGAGGGCCGGGGGGCGAUGCGUUGGGUCGCGGUUGACGUCGUAGAGCGGGGAUUCUUCCCUGUCGAACGGCCUGGGCAUCUGCAUACCCCUAGGGUUGUCCCAGUUCCAGUAGGGCAGGGCGAAAUCGGGAUCUCCGAUGAGUUCGCCCAUGAUCCUCUCGAAGAAAUAGAGGUACCACCUGUGGAAGGGGUGGAUCCAGAAUUUGUCAUUAGGAGGGACUAAAUUUGUUGAAGCAUGACGUCUCAAAUUAUUAGCCAAUUUUUUUUAGCAUUCCAUACAGUUCAUUUUUUUGUCGAACUACAUUCGAUUAAUUCAACAACAAGAACAUUGAAAGCAUAUAAAUACUUACCUCUCAAAAAUUGUUUCAUCUUCUAAGAAGAUAAGCUAAUUUUCAUCAUGGCAGUUCAUAAUUUUAAUUUAACUUGAGGAUUGACUCAAAUUCAACACUGAGAAUCAACUAAGAAAGGAAAGUAGACAAAAAUAACAUAAAUUUAACAAACUAACAUAUCAAAUUUAAAUCACUAUAAAAUAUUAAACAGUUAAAACGUGGAUACUAUAAUUAAUAAAACAAUGUAUUUUAUUAUCUCUUGUAUUUCUUAUCUAUACUAAUAGAAAAAGAGUCUAAGACAGUCUAAGGCACAACUUGUGGAUUGCCUAUUUUACCCUUAUUAUAUAUUUAUUAUUAUAUUUACAAAAUAUAAAUCUAUUUUGAUAAAUAUUUAUUUGUCACUCAAAUCUAUAAAGAAUACUUUAUAUCUAUAGCUAUUGAUAAGGCUUAUAAAUAAAUAUAUUCAUCCACAACGUACGUUCUUUCUGCUAGUAUAUAAUAAAAACAAAAACAAAAAACUCAAAAUUUGGGAGGCGGUCGAUCCGCUGCUAACCUGUGGAAAGGGAAGAAGAUCCAUGAGUUGUGAACCUGGAUAUCGAUGCCGGGGUGGUCCACCUGGUCGUAGGGGCCGUUGCAGUAAGCGCAGUGGAUGUUGGCCUGCUGAGUGAAGCCACGGGGAUCGUCGGGGUCCGUCACGUCCAGUUCCUUCAUCUUCUGGAUGGCCAACUCAUACUUGCGUACGUAUUCCGGUGUCAGCCUGUGCGCCGCCGGCCUAACGCGAGGUUUAGUGAACCUCGGAAGCUUGUAGUCGCUCUGAACGUCGGUGUAGGGCGGGCAGCAGUUGACGUCUAGAGAUAUUACCUCUUGGUUUCGAGUGGUGUAGGCACCUUCGGGGUCGCAGGUGCUCAGGUCAGGAGGCAAAAUCGGAAGCGCCUCAGCUUUGCGGAUGGCGCUGCCUGCGCCGUAUAGACCGCCCAGCCCAAGCAGCAUGUUUCUGCGGUCUAUACGGCCGCUGCCACCGCCACCGCUGCUGCAUGACACCUGAAAGCGGCCGUGGCUCCGCCGGCUGCUGAGCUGGGAGGGCUUGCGAAAUGGGGAGUUGGUGGCGGCGGCGAUCGCCGUGAAUGAAGAUUGAAGGGAAGCCAUGUUUGAGUGAUUGAUUGAUGGUCGUUGUGAUUACCUGGGGAGGCAUGUCUUUAUAUAGCAGAUGUGACACGAGUUUUAAGAAAAAUAAAUUAUCCGUUGAAUAAUUAAAUCGCCAUGUUUCUAUAAUUUAUUCCUAAUGGAUCUAGUCAAACUAAUCGUGCAAUAUUUAAUAAACCACGCAGCAUCAUUUCCGAGACUAAUAAAUGACAUUUUGAACCAGCUAAUCAAUUCCAUAUAAUUAACCAUUUGCGAGGCUGGCUGCCCUUCACUAAAUGGUUGUAUGCACUUGUCUUUGGAAAAGCUGUUUGGCCAUAUUAUGGCCAGUCAUAAUAUGGGAAAAUAUUAUAAAAGUCAUGUAUUUAAUUUUUUAUAUUUAAAAUAAAAAUAGGAUUUUAUUAGUUUUAUUUUUUAUUACAUAUUUUAGCUAUUUUUUUUUAUAAUUUUUCUGAAUUUUUUAGAAAAAUAAAAAAUAAAAUUACAAUGUGAACAAAAUUAUAAAACUAAUAAUGGUAGAGCAGCGGAGGGCACAGGUGAAGGGCAUGGCGGCGGUGUACUUAUUUUAGUCAAGUAAUUAUUAUUGCACGAAAAAAUAAUUAUUAAUAUAAAGAAAGAUAAUGUUUCAAAGACAUUAUCUUUCUUCAUGUCUAUUAAUUUUUCAUCACAAUAAUAAUUACUUCGAAUUAUCCGUGUUUUCAAUCGUGCGACCUGCACCCAGCCCGACCCGACCCGUUUCACCCAUAUAGUCAGUCUCACCCAAGUUUUUGCCUAAAGAUAAGUAUUAAUUAGUUGUGUAUGGUGAUAUGAGUCUUGUUUGUAUAAAUUAGUAGGCCUUUAAUAAUGAAUUGGCCCAUCUCAGGUGGUUUAUAUAAUUUACUCGUAUGGAUCUAAAUACAACUAAUCAUGAAAUAUUUAAUAUACCACGGAGCAUCUUUCUGAUAUACUAUUUAUAUAGUAAUUUAUUCCUAAUGGAUCUAAUCUCUGACUAUUUAAUAAUUAACUCGCCAUCGUUUAAAUAAUUUACUCCUUAUGGAUACACUCAAAGUAAUCGUGCAAUAUUUAAUAUACCACGCAGCAUCAUUUCUCAUACAAUAUUUUGGACCAUCUAACCAAUUACAUAUAAUUAAACCUUUUGCCAGGGUGGCUGUCCCUUCCACUAUAUGGUUGCAUGUAUUGAAUUGAAAUUUUAUUGAGGAAAAAAUGAAAAGAAAAACUAGGAAUUCAUUGAUAGCACGAAGACGCUAAUUAAGGGCUGAGCCUCAUCAAAACCUUUCCGAUAAAAAUCCAGUGAAAAAAACCACCAGCAAAGGAAAAAGAGUACCAGUCUAUUACAAUAAAAAAAUGAAGAACAAACUCAAGACAGGAACAACGAGAAGCACGAGAGGAUGAUAAAACAUCUAACCCGAAAAAAAAGACCCAAACCAAAGGAGCCUGACAAAUCCGGAGCCAGUACCAGCGCACCAGGAAACUGAAAAAGUUCUGGAGAAGCCACUUCGACCCAAGCACGCCAACCAUCCAAAAGAAACGACUACCACACCCACACCUAGGCCAAGAAAUAUAUAAUAUUGUGAAUAGUUCCCAUGGGAUCGAAACAGACCACCAAAACAAGAAAAAACCUCUAAGAGCAGACUACUCAUUGCCUGCCUGCCUAGUAUUCGAUGAAAUACCCAAACCAGAAAUCAUAGCAUAAAGCAAAAACCGCCACAGCUGGGGAGCGAAGAGCAGAAGGCCACCAAUAAGAUACAUUAGGAUUGCGCAAAGUCUGACAAAGAAAUCAGAAAACUUACCAGACCACUCUAGUUAAUGUAAUCUAUACAUGUCCGCACAUGAAAUUUGGUCAAGUUAGAUACACUAAUCUCAAAUCUAUUUAAUUAACAAAUUGAUUGAUUGAUAUUUUUUUCUGAGAGAAAUUGAUUGAAUAAUUUUUAGACUUCAAAAACUAAUAGUUAAUUGAUUGUUUAGAUAAGAUUAUUAUUACACUUUUAUAUAGAGAUAAUUAGUACUUGAGAUAUGUGCAAUUUACGCAUUCUUCUCUCGAGACAAAAUAAAUAUUAUUGACCAUUGAGAACUCUGCUACCACUACUCCAGUUCUAUUUAUUAUCAGUGUGCCCUCUCGCGCGCUGCACGGGUCACAACAUAUUUGAUUAUUUAAUUUUAGCUGUUUACGCAUACUUCGCUCGAGACAAAAAUAAAAUAAGAUUUAUUGAUCAUUGAGAACUCAGUACCACACCAUACUCGUGUAUACUAUAAUAUUUAUCAUUGUUUAUGAUUAUUACGUGUCUUCGCCGAUAAAUUUAAUAUUCAUUCCUUUAAUUUUUUUCUAUUGACAUUGGAAACUGUCUUGAUUCUUUUUUGGCCAUAUCAUAUAUUUAAAAAAUUGGGAGGGGAACGUGGAAGUUGAAUCUGAAAUAAGAAUCAAAUGAUACAUGUGUACUUUCAAAGAUAAAACGCAAAAUAUAUCAUUUUUUUGUAAAACAUAUAAAUUCUACUAUUUAUGAUUAUUUUAAAUUUAUAUAAUCUAUAUUUGUAUGUAUAUAUAUUCUCCAUUUGUUCAUGAAAAAGAGUCUCAUUGUAUGCUGAAUACGAGUUUUAAUAAAAUGGUUGUAAGUGUGAAAUAAAUGUAUAAUUUGUAAGAGUCUUUACAUUAGAUUAUAUUUUACUCUCUUCGUCCUAUUGAUAAUGACUCACUUUUCUUUUUCGUCUGUCUCAUUGAUAAUUGCAUGUUCCAAAAAAACUGAAACCAUUUGACCUCACAAAAUGUUGUGGGCUCCACUACUUUUUAUCACUUUUAUCCUUUAAUUACUAUUCUUAUUAAUAACCGUGUCGAACAGUAAUGAACUAUUAUCAAUGGGAGGGAGGGAGUAAUAUUUUAAUUUUGUUUGCUGCCACCACCACCACCACCACCACAAUUUAAAAAAAAAAAUCUACGUGAAUAUAGUAAUUAUUAGAACAAAAAAAUAACUAUAAUAAUAAUAUAUUAAUCCGUUAAUUAUCUAUACUAAUAUAAAAAGUGCAUUUGGCACAAAAUAUAUAUUGCCUGUUAUAUCCCUAUUAUAGUAUUUUAUUUGAAGGACAACUUUGUAAAUUAUAUAUUAUAUAUUUAUAAGAAUAUAUUAUUUCAUUAGAUAUUACACUAAAUAUAUUUGAUAUAUAUCUAGAUCUUAUGCUAUAAUUUUUUUUAUAUUAAUUAAUUAUUAUAUAUUGUGAUUUAAUAGAAUUAUACAACUCUAAUAAUUUAUAAAUGUAAAGUUCAGGGAUUGCAUGCAAUGCACACAUUCUAUGCUAGAAAAAAAAUAGAAUUCACUAAGCCGAUGAUAAAUAACACAUACAACGUACUAUUUCUGCUAGUAAAUUAAAAAUCUAUAUGAUUUUAUCUUCUAUCACUACAUUAAUUAAAAUCUAUCUUCCGUUUCAUAUUAACGGUGGUUUUUCAAUAUUUUUUAUAUUAAUUACUACAUAUUGUGAAUUUAUUACAAUUGUUAACCUCUAACAAUUCAUUAAUAUAAAGUUGAUGGAUUGUGUGUCAUGCACAAACUCUCCUGUACUCAUCUAAAAGACUCUAUAUGUGAGAAGAAACCGCAGGAGAGUAAAAUGGUACAUAACAUAGAAUAGAAAGACUUUCACAAAAUAAAUGUUACAUUCUUCCCGUAGUCGGAAGGAGCAUGAAAAUGCGCGGUUAUUCGCAAGAAAGAAAGGCUCACUCAGCCACACAAAACAUGGAAAUCCUAAACACGGUGAUGCAGAGAUCAAGCGGUAACACGCGGGAUGAUCUUAAUACCACCGAUGGUAACAUCGUCGCCAUUAAUGUGGGGAACGAUAGUGACGACAAUGAAAUCAUCAUCAGCAAUAUUAAUGUUCUCAUAGAGUUCCUUCAGGUUCAAGUGAAGGUCGUUGGAGCUUUCCGUGGCCCUAACCCUGUGCGGAAUCUGCGUGAAGCACCCGGCGUACUCGGCCCUAUCGAGCUUCUGUGGCGUGUCGUCUGCAUCAUUCACGAACACAUCGAACCUCACGAGCUUCAAGCUAUCGCAGAUUAUGUCCUCCAGCACCAGCACUUCGUCGGCUUUGCCUUUGGUUGGUUUGGGCACCACAACCCUAUGAGGCUUAUUGAGAGUGAGAGGGAACACAUUGUCUCCGGUCUCCGCCGUCUUGGCGAGAUCUUCGGUAUUGACCGGUUCCGGCCGCUGAGGUGGCCGGCAGGUCAUCCAUGGUGUAUGGCUAUAUUCAUACUCGUAUCCCAUUUUUGUGUGGUCCAAGCAGUCGGCGACCUUAACGCGCACCAGCUUCCUCUUCUCGUUGUAGAACAUGAAGGAGGCGUUGUUGAAGUCGUCGGGGUUGGGGACGACGAGCUCGUUGAUAUCCUUCGGGAAAACGGAUGGGAUCGUUUUCCAUAUAGUCCACAUUCUGUCGACGUUAGCGUGAUGUGCGUAGAAGAGAGGGUCUCUUCCGGCGGAGUAGAAGUUCCCCAUGUCUUCGCGGAAAUUGUUGGCGGGGUUUCCGGUCCAGACAGCCGCCCUCCGACAAUCCUCCCUUGGAGCGUGGCGGGGGCAAGUCUCCGUCAACGUAAGGCUCGCCCAUGAAGUUGGUAGCGGAUUCGACAUCACCAACCAUUUCCUUGUACAGCUGAUUGAGGUUGUUGGAGAUGAUCUGUACGGGAUCGGUGAUCGGGGGGUUGGUUAGGGCAAGAGAAACGAUGGCCGGGGGCCGAUGCGUCGGGUCGCGGUUGACGUCGUAGAGUGGCGACGCGUCCCUGUCGAACAUCGAGGGCAUCUGCAUGCCCCUAGGGUUGUCCCAGUUCCAGUAGGGCAGGGCGAAAUCGAGAUCUCCGAUGAAUUCGCCCAUGAUUCUCUCGAAGAAAUAGAGGUACCACCUGUGUAGGGAUGAAUCCAGAAUUUGUCGUUAGGGGGGCUAAAUCUAAAAGUAUUUGCAGUGGGGGCUCCCGUCCGCAAGACAAUUUUUUUUAACCAUUCCGUAUAGAUUUAAUUGGCUUAACAUUAGAAAUCAGUCACUUACUAUAAAAAAUAGUUGUUCGCAUUCCAUUAAUUCAACAACAAGUACAUUUAAAGCAUAUACAAACCUACCUCUGUGCAAUUUUUUAAAAUAUUAUUUCGACUUCUAAAAGAAUAAACUAAUUUUCAUUGUUAAUUAAUAGUUCAAAAUUUUAGUUUAUCUUGAAGAUUAACUCAAAUUAAAUAUUCAAUAUUACCUAAUUAAACAAAAAUGAGACAAAAAUAACACAAAUUUUUAACAAACUAACCUAGCAAAUCACUGUAAAAUGUUAAGCAAUUCUUUCUUGUAUUUCUUCUAUAUAUUAAAAACAAAAAAAUUAGGGAGGGGGCUUCAGCCCCCGUGGAUCCGCCACUAACCUGUGGAAGGGGAAGAAGAUCCAUGAGUUGUGAACCUGGAUAUCGAUGCCGGGGUGGUCCACCUGGUCGUAGGGGCCGUUGCAGUAAGCGCAGUGGACGUUGGCCUGCUGAGUGAAGCCGCGGGGAUCGUUGGGGUCCGUCACGUCCAGAUCCUUCAUCAUCUGGAUGGCUUUCUCGUACUUGGCUAUGUAUUCCGGUGUCAGCCUGUGCGCCGCCGGCCUCCUGCGAAGCUUUGUGAACGUCGGAAGCGUGUACUCUUCCUCGUCGUCCGUGUAGGGCGGGCAGCAGUUGGCGUCUAGAGAUAUUAUCUCCCCGUUUCUAGAAGUAUAGGCACCUUUGGGAUCACACUUGCUCAGGUCAGGAGGUGAAAUCGGAACCGCCUCAGCUUUGCGGAUGAGGCCGCUUGCGCCGUAUAGACCACCCAGACCAAGCAGCAUGUUUCUGCGGUCUACACGGCCGCCGCCGCCUCCAUCACUGCUGCACGACACCUCAAAGCGGCGCCUCCGCCUGCUGGCGAGCUGGGAGGUGGUGCGGAGGUUGGGGUUGGUCGUGGUCGCCAUCACCAUGAAUGAAGAUUGAAGGGAAGCCAUGCUUGAUUGAUUGAUGCUUGCAUUGCGCUCGAGGCAUGCAUGUCUAUAUAUAGUAGGCGUGGACACGAGUUUUAAGAAAAAUAAUGAUACUUAAUGGGAUUAUUUUCGAAAAUGAAUUAGGAAGAUGUUUUGGAGACGAAAAUAGAAAAUUGACCUUUUGCCAGGCUGCCCUUUCACUAAAUGGUUGUAUGCACUUAUCUUUUUUUUAUCUAUAAAGAGGUAUUUUCUCCAUUUAAAAAACUUAUCGAGGUAAUUAUGAAGACUAUUCAUUUUUAUCGUUGUAAAGUUAAUUAAAUUAUAAAAAUUAAAGUUGAUAAAGUUCUUAUUAAACAUCAUCGCUCUUCUGUCUUUGGACGACAAAAUUAAUUAUUUCAAAUAGAUAAAGAACUUGAUUUUCCGAUAUGGCUUCUCAUACUAAUUAAAUAAUCUAAUCCUAUAAUGUAUUUCAUAUAAAGUUAUCAAAUUAACAAUAUUCUGUGUGAAUUUUUUUGCCUUGAGUGUGUGUAUAGAGGUAGUCAGGGCCGGCCCUGAGGGUGGGCGGGCAUGGGCGACGGCCCAGGGCCCCAAAAAUUUGAGGGCCCAAAAUUUUUAAUAUAUCCUAUUAAUUAUAGAUCUUAUGUAUACUAACAACAUAGUUCAUCUAUUGAUUUUGGGCCCAACAUAAUUUAUUCUCAAAUUUAGAUCUAUACUUAAUAUAGAGAGUUUUCAAUUUGAAAUCAAUUUCAAAGUAAUUUCAAAAUUGAGUGACUAUUUUGUAGUUAUAAUAUUAAUAAAAUUGAAGGUUUAUGUUUAAACUAUAUAUUUUUAUUUUUAUUUUUAUUUUCAUUUUCAUUUUCUUUAACUUCUUAUUUGUUGUUACAUUUCUUUCCAAAAUUGUGAAAUUCAAUUAAUUAUAAAAUAUUUAAUAUGCAUAUCAAAUUAAAGAUCACAAUAAGAGUUUUAAUAUGAUAUAUUUUAUGAAAAAUAUUUGAUUUAAAAUGUAAAAUUUAUGCAUGUUCAAAUAUUAAAGUUUUAUAAAUUUCUCUCACCUCUCUCAUCUUUACGAAUAAAUAUAUUUUUAAUUCUUUUAAAUUAGUAUUUUAUUUUUAAUUUUUUUAACUUAUUUUUUUGUUUUUGUAUUUCAUAAUAUCAAAUUUUAUAAUUGUGAAUUCUUUUUUUAUUUUUUUUAAUAUUCAAUUCAAAUAUAUAUAAUUAAAAUUAAUUUUUUAUUAUAUUUAUAAGUAUAAUAAUUAAAUUAGUAUUAAUUUUAUAUAAAUAGUAAAAACAAAAAAUAUUUCCCGUGCAUGAGAUGCAAAUGGUAGUUGCACCUCGCCGCCGGUAAUAUAUUUAAGUAUAUAAAUUAAUUAAUAUUAACAAGGCGCCCGGUGAUCACCGGAGGCAUCCUUGCCGCUGGUAUUUCUGCCGCUACUUUGAAAAAUACGGCCGUCGGUAAAUCUGGCCGCAAAUUGUGUACGUUUUUUGGUAGUGGUAAUAUAUUAGGGCCCAAUUUUUUAAUUUCGCCCAGGGCCUCAGUUUUGUCAGGACCGGCCCUGGAGGUAGUUAUAGAAUUUAUCUUUUGUGUUCUCAAAGGAACUUAAUUAAGAUCCAAUGUGAUUGAUACAUUUCGACUAAAUGGAUGGGCAAGAUUCUUUUAACGCCCAAUAUUAAUUCCAUCUCAAAUCGGAUCUUAUAUAAUACUGUAUUUUAUAUAUUCUAUAAUGCAUUUUAUAUAUUACGUGUCUAUUAAAUUAACAUUGAUCUUAGGAGUGAUACAAGUUUAAAAAAAAGCUAGCUGUAUAUUUGGUGAGUAGAGAAGGGAUUUCAGAAAUUAGAAAAAAUGGUGAUAGGUAGUGGAAUUAUUUUAAAAAAUGGACUAAAAAGAUGUUUCAUGAACGAACGAAAAUGGCAAAAUAGGAAGAUGAGUCGUGGUCGGAGGAAAUAUUAUAAUGCAUCGUAUCCUUUUUUGGUUCGUAUAAAGAUUUUUAUUUGAUCCUCAUCGAGAACAUGCAUAUUGCGAAUACUUAAUUUAUUUCAAUAUAUAUAUAUUAAUUUAUUGGGAGCAUAUGCUAAAUAAAUUAAAUUAAUCCGAAUCAAAAGCGCUUAAUUAUCACUACAUUACAUGCAUUAUGACAAAAAGCCUGCGGCUAAAGAUCUUCAGUUUAAGUCUAUUGUCAUAUUGUUUUUAAAAUAUUAUUUAUCCAUUCCGCAUAUGGAUUGGUCAGAUUUAGAUACACAAAUCUCAAAUGUAUUUAAUUAACAAAUUGAUUGAUAAAUUUUAGAAUUCAAAAAUUAAAUCAAUCAAAUACGCGUGUCCACAGUCAAUGGAUUGAAAAUAUGCAGGUAUCUAGAUAAGAUAUAUUAUUAUUAUUAUUACACUGUUAACUAUACUGCAGUACACUUUUAUAUAUACAGACAUAAUUAAAAUAUGCAGGUAUCUAGAUAAUAAGAUUAUUAUUACACUAUUAACUAUACUGCAGUACACUUUUAUAUAGAGAUAAUUACUAGAGAUAUGUGCUAUUACCCAUACUUCGCUCGAGACAGAAAUAAAUACGAUUGACCAUUCAAUUAAACACUACGACACCAUACUCGUGCAUGUACUAACGAUCUUAUUAUAAGUGCACCUUCCCGUGCGAUGCACAGGUCAGUAGAAUUGUAAUCGAUAUUGAUGUGAAUAUCAUCAUAUUCGAUUCGUAUUUGUGAAAAUACUCUAAUAUUUGAUUCAGCAUUCGAUUCGAUCACGAAUACUAAAUACGAUCCCAUAUUCGAUUCGAUGUUAUUUUUGAAUUAUUUGAUACAUUUUUUAAAAUUAAUUAAAUAAUUUUUUUACGAAUAUUCGAUUCGUUUUCCAUCAUAUUCAAUUCAAAACUAUUCGAUUUGAAAUUCUGAAGGAAAAAAUAUGUUAAAUAAUAUUCUAAAAAAUAUAGGAUUAUAUCCAAUAUAUUUACCUAAUAAUUAAACACACAAUAAUAAAGUGUUCAAUUCAUAUUGUUUUAUGUCCCGUGGUUUGUUUCUAGGAUUGUGGUAAUAAAGACUGAUUGGAUCAGUCUAGUACAGUUGUUGUUUGAAUUUGUAAUUUUGUGUAACGGCAUUGUCAUCUUGUUGAGAUUAAUAGGAGUUAAUUUGUUUAAUUAAUUAUUCAUGAGUUUCUUAUAAGAUACCUUCCUUCGUUCCGUAAAAAUAGUCAUAAUUUUUCAUUUUAGAACGUCCAUAAAAAAAUAGUGUUAUUCCAUUUAUAAACAAUUUAGAUCCUUACCUUUGGGAUGAGAUAAAAUGAAAUUCCAUUUUAAAUCAUAAACUAGCUAUAUAGGAAGCAUUUUCAGCUCUUGAAUUCAUCUGUUGUUCGAAUUUCAUAGGAAGCAAGUUUUUUUGACUCAUUAUUUUCACAGCGAAUUCAUCAUGUUACACAUACCCUAAAGUGAUAUAUUUACCCUAUUUGAUAACAUGAUAAGUAUAUUUGAAGCGCUCACUAUUUUAUUUGAACUUUAUUAUCGAGUUUAAACGAGUUUUGAAAUAUUGAAUUAAAUUGAAAUAUCCAUGUUGAUCGUUUAAGAAGCAAAUUUUUGGCAUGGGUUUAUAAAAAAUACAUCCUAGCCUCCAUCCCUAAUAAGUGCGGUGUGAAGGAGUGGGCAAUAGUUCUUUAAAAAUAAUUGAGAGAUGUGUAUAAAGUGGAUAAAAUGGCUUACUAGAGCUGAUUUGUUAGGCCUUACUUUCUCUCUGCCCCACUAAAAUAAGCUCAAUUCUUUUGAGAACAUAGAUUAAUAAACUUUCUUUUGAGAAGAAAAUUAAAGUGGUGGCAAAAGUAAUGUGGUCCAUACCAAUUAAGCAAUUUGAGUACAUUUUUUUUUUCACUCAAAAGGAAAACGAGCCUAUUCUAGCGGGACAUUCCAAAAUAGAAAACGAGCAUAUUCUGCUGGGACGAGGGAAUAAUAAAUUGUUUGUGAGAUGAGUAGUUUGUAAAUAUUGUGUGUGAAAGGUGUAUGUCUUAAAUUGAAAAGACCAUACCUGUAUUGUGAUUGUACGGAAAGGUGGAACUGAGCAUCGCGGCGGCGGCGAGGCAGGAGGCGGCGGUGGUGAGGAGAAUCGAGAGAGAGAGAGAAAGAUGCCAGCAGACAGUGACGGAGGGCAGUGGGCGGCCCUUGGCGGCAGCGGAGACGACAAGGUACUGGCUGUGCCAGAAUUAUUUAGUUGCAUAGGAUCCUUCCAAAUGUAAUUACUGAUUCACUGUUGGAUUAACAAGAAUUAAAUUACUUCAUAAUACAGUAUUCCAACUGUUCGAUAAAAGCCCUUAAUGAAAUCUUCCAUAGAUUACUUUGCAAAGUUCAUAAAAUUACUCAAAAGCAUUGUUGCAUAGUCCGUACAUAGAGAUGGUCGAUUAUCUUAAUUAUGUCUAGAUUUAUUUACGACACACACACACACACAUCACAAAAUCACACAUACUGACUAAUAAGGUUCCCGAAAGCCGGCAUUAUUAGGCGCCAUGGUGGCCGUGAAAUACCAUGAGACGAUAUCAUGGGUGGUGGGUCCGUCUAGUCUGGUGGCGGCGGAGAGCCCUACCUGAACCUGCUAAGGAAGAAAGCCGCUCAAAUCAUACUCAUAGCUGACUUCAAACGUCUUCGAGCCGGCGGUGGCACGGACGGCGAUCUACUUUGUGGAGGCGGCGUAGUUGAUCCUCGCCGUCACCUGCUGCUCGAGUAUGGAGCCGUCGACCUCCGUCGUGUUUCGGGAUGACCUAGACCCGAUGUCGAUGCCGAUGUGGGGAUAGUUCGGAUCCCACGCGCUGUUGACGUAGGUGUCGAACUCGACGGCAAAUACCGAGGGGUUGCUGCCGGAGGAGCCGAAGAUUCCGAGGUUGGCCCCGCUGGAGCCGGUGGGGAUGGUGGAGCGGCGAGAUUGGUGAUGCUGGGUGUGGUGAUGAAGUUUACGGUGGUUUCAAAGUCGACUUGGCCACCGGCUUGGGAGAAUUGGACCGGGUUCGUGUACAAGACCCGGCCGACACUACCGAUCUGCGGUCGCCUUGGUAGGUGAGGUCGGUCGGCUGGUUGUCCCAGAAGUUAUAGGCGAAGGCCGUUGAUCGGGACUUCGCCCUGUUGGUGGCGACGGCGAGAAGAAGGGCGAUGGAGAUUAGGGUUUGGAGAAGGUUGGCCAUGGCUUAGUUGUGCAGUGAAUGAUGUCUACUACUUGCUCCUAUUUAUAAUGAUCGAAAAUAUCUACUACUUACCUACCACAGAUCCACAUCAGGGGCCCUGGAUGGGGUGGUCGACUACAUAAGCCCAAAAAAAUAAGGGCUCGGAAAAUAUAUAGAUCCAUGUAAGUAUUAUAUAUAUGUAUAAAAUAAUUAAAAGCCAACUAAUGAUUGAAUUGAUUAACUUGGCGCAGUGGAAAAAGGACAUUUUUAAUUCCUCUUAAUUACCAAUAUUUUAUUUAGUGACCAAUUUUUUUGUUUAGAUAUAGGGCCCAGCCCCUAUUUUGAUAAAUUAAGUGUAUGUAUUUCAAAUUAACAUUAUUUUAAGUUGUCGAAUUUUUUUGUUAAGAUUUAGGGUCCAGCCCCUAUUUUGUUAAAUUAACUUUAUUUUAAGUGAAUGACAUAAUUAUUAAUAUAUUUAUUAAUUAUUAUGUAAUUUGAUAAAAAAAUGUUUUAAAUAAUUUUAGUUUAUAAUUAAUUUAUUUCUCAAUUAUAAAUAAAUGGCCUAAAUUAAAAAAUUCGCAAAGGGCCUAUGUUCUCUUAGCCCUACCCUUGCACUGUUGCACAUGGUAUAUAUAUCUAUUCUAUGAAUAUAAGUGAUUAUUUUAUAAACCACGUGAAAGCACUUGUUCCCACUAGCACUAUAAAAGCAAUAAAUACAACGGAAAGAAAAUAAAUUACAAUUGAAUACAUUAGGAGAAAAAUUACUUCUAACCUAUGGAAUUACUAACAACGAUACUUAUACCAAAGCUAAAUUGGACCAACUAACUGUACACUCUUGUAUUAUAUCAACCUACCAGACCUUAGUAUUCACGAGUCUCCCACAGUCUAGACUGAUUCACAAUAUAUACCAACAUUGGAACAAGUUCAGUAAUACACUCUAUUUAUAUAUAUUAUUAUAUACACAAAAAUGCAUGGCUGCUGUGGUAUUACGGAAGGAUCGAGAAUUACUCGAUCCUUGGGAAAAGGUUCAAAUGAAACCUUUAUUAUUACUCUCCGUCCCCCAAAUAAUAUCAUAUCCGAUUUGGGAUAUUACCCCACCACUAAUAAUACUUUAUUUAUUCUAACUUCUCAAUCUUUCACCAUUCUCAAUACUAAUUAUAACACAUUUUCAUCACUUUCAAUACUAAUUAUAAUUUCUUUUCUCCACUGCUAAUACGUACACUUAACAAUUUUUCCUUAAAACCAGUGUCGUCCCCUACUAAGAAGUUAUUUGGGGGACGUAGGGAGUAUUUUUUAAUGAUAUGGCAUCCAAAUAUGUUGUGACAAUCCAGUGAGCAAUAUCAACUUUUUGGAGCUGAAAACCGAUGUGAGGUACAACUAAUACACAAUAUGUUGUGGCAAUCCAGUAAUAUACCCUAAGGAUGCGUCAUCUUUUGUUGUAAAUUUAUCAUGGAAAAAUGAGGGAUAAACAAAAUUUCACCCAUUAAAUCCUUCAUUUUUUCCCUCAUUUCUUACAAAAUAGAAUUUGACCCUUACUCAUUUCUCAUUUUCACUGCAAAGGGGGGCUAAUAUUAUCUCUCUAUUUUUGGUAUAAUGAAGAAUUUGAUACGUAAUUACAAUUAAUUAUAAUGAAGUGUGUAUUUUAGUUGCUCAUAUUCUUGGAUUAUUUAUGCUUUAAUGAAACGAUCCACUGCCUUUAACAUUUUGGCAUUUUAAAGUAAACGCCGAAAUGCAACGAUCCACUGCCUUUUAAGUAAACACCCUUGCUAACCCCUGCAUGCGUUUUUUCAUCAAACACUUGGGUUCAUUCUUUUAGGCAUUUUAUCAAACAGUUGUGCUCAGCCUCAUCCUUUUGAUCACAUUCCCAUAUCUCUCCUUAUAUGAAACCGCAUUUUCUAUUUCUCAUAUAUUUCCUAUAUAAUAUUUCCAUCAUUUCUAGCUCAACAAUAAUUCUUCUAGCAAAAUUAUCAUUUCAAAUGCACUCUUUUCCUUUUCUACUUUCUCUUCUGCAUAACAGAAAUACUAAUCCACCAUAAAAUAAUCAUAACUUUUUCUUAAUGAUACGAUGAGGGCACAAAGUUGAGAUGAUAAAAUCAUACAUAUUGGCGAAUGUUGCCGCCGGCUUCCUCUGACUUUUGGAUGCUGAGGGGAGGGGUGGCGGUGAAAUACCAGGAGUUGAUGAUGAAUUUGAUGGUUGUUUCCAUGUCCACCUGCCGCAGAGACCGAGAUACGAUUUUAGAAACAAACGGCAAAAUUACAAUUUCACAUAUAAAAAAUAAAAGACAAUUAAUAAAGCGCAUAAUAUUGGUAAGAUGCUUCCAACCAAUAGGUCGGGAUUGUAUAUCGUGUGAGUGUGUUUUUCAUUUUUUAGUAAUAACAUGUCGUGCUCGGGGCUUUUUUCCGUAUCUGCCCCUGCUUCCCGUCGUCGUGCCCGACUCGUCGGUUUUUGUCAUGCGGAGGUAGGUGGUGGCGUCGGUGAAGUUGGCGUCGCCUUCCAAGCGUAGGCCUUCCGAAUGUGGCGGCUUUUGGUAGAAGUCGUAGGUGAAGGAGACUGCAUCGCCGACCGACACGGUGGCGAGGAGGAGGGCGAUGGAGGAGAGGAGAGGAAUUAAGGUUUGGAGAAGGUUGGCCAAUUUGAUUAAAUGUAUUUGGAUGUAGUGGAUGAUGGUGUAUCGAUCUCUUGCUCCUAUUUAUAGUUGUAAAUAUAUAUUAAUAAUGGUAUCAUUCAAUCAUUAUACUUUAGGCCGGCCGGGCCGGAUCCUCUAUUCCAAAUUCUAUGUCUCAUUGUUCAUAUUCACUAUUAAUUUCACUAUUUCAAUAAUUAAAAAAAUUCAUAGAGUUUGGGGCAGAGGAUCCCGUUUGAAUCCCACAUGGAUCCUCUGUCCCAUAACUUAUUGUGUUCCUUCCCAUUAUUAAUCUCGAUAUUAUAUUUCUACUUUGGAGUUAAUUCAUUAUAAACCCAUGAAAGAUCAGACGAAAUUCAUCCAAUAAACAUUUAUAAAUUUAUAUUUAAAUUUUGUUUCGCGGGUAUCUGAUAGAUAAUAGGUAUUCGUGGGUGGCGAAUUUGGGUAGCAUUUGAUAUUCAUAGAUAGUUUCAUGAUUAAAAUCCAAUAUUCAUUUAGUUCACGGGUAUGGUAUGACAGCCACUAUCUGUGUACGUCAUACCUGAUUGCCAGUAUGACAAAUAUAAAAGUUGUGAGAUGCACAGCAGCUUAAUUAUUCAAAUAGAAAUAUCAUCACAUGUGCAUUGAUAUUUCACAAAAUAAAUACUACUACUAAUAAAUACUCCCUCCGUCCACCAAAGAUAUGCCACUUUACUUUCGGUACGAGUUUUAAUAAAAUGUGAGUGAAGUUGGUAGUGGAGUAAGGGUCCCACUUUAAAUGUGAGUGGAAUGGUAUGGACCUUACUACUAAAAAUGGAUGUGGCAUAUUUUUCGUGGACGAACGAGAAAGAAAAUUGUGGCAUAUCUUUGGUGGACGGAGGGAGUAGUACUCAUUGAUAAUGCAUGCCAACACAUGGUUCUUGCAAGUCAUAUAUAUACCUCAUCAGCAAUAUAGUAAAAUGAUGAUUUGACAACCAGAUUAAGACACCAAUUAUUCUUGUCGGGACACAGACAUAUAUGCAUAUAGAAUUAAUAUUAUUUACUAUUUCGUUUAUACACGUGAAUUAUGCUUUGGAUGCAACAUCGCCACGUCUCUUUCAUUUAUACUUCUCUAGUGUAUUGCGGACAAAAUAGUUAGUGUCUUUAAGAAAUUAAAAAUUUUCAAAUACAUAAGAAAGAAUAAUUAAUCUAAUUGGUGCGCCGGCAACUAAAACUUUUUUCAAUUCACUUUAUAUUUUAUAUACUCCCUCCGUCCACGAUUUAAUGCCCCAUUUUAGUGUGGGCACGGAGACUAAGAAAACUGAAAAAGGUGAUGUGAAUGAAAUAUAAGGGUAGUUGACUAAAGUGAUAAAGAUGCUGUGAGUGGGUUCACUAGUGAUAAAGUAUAGGAAAUAUAGAAUAUAAAAAUGAUAAAGGUGUUUUAAGUUGGGUCCAUUAGUGGCAAAGAGUAAUAAAUAUAGAAAAAGAAGAGUAAAAAAGUACAAAAAGCAUAAUAGGGCUUUAAUUUGUGGACAAAAAAUUAAGAGCAAGUAGGGCUUUAAAUUGUGGACGGAGGGAGUAUUUAACAUUACAAGUCAAUUGCUUGCAGAAUUUGAGCUUGUCUCCCGUGAUGGAGACCUCACCAUGCGGCAACCCGUGCCUGCGCCUGCCUUUUUUCUUCCCGUCUUGCUCUAUCCAGAUAUUAUACGUGAUCCAACUCUUUCCAGAUAUUAUACGUAAAUGAUAAUUUUACUAACAAAAAUUACACUUUUUAUCAAUAACAAAUGAAACUAUGCAUACAAAACAGGAGGUAAAUGAUAUUUUUCUUAAUAACAACUGAUACUUUUUCAAUGCAAAUAAUACUUCGCAAAUGAUAUUUUAAUAUAAAAGUAAAUGAUACUUUGUAUAAAAAUAAAUGUUAUAUUACAAAUGACACUUUUAAUGCAUACCAAUGACACUUUUAAUAACAAAAAUUGAGAAAAAAAAAUUAGAAUUCGGCCUUAAUUAAAAUUUGGACAACAUUUAUUUGGGCAAAGAAGAAAAACACCUGAAUUUUUUUUUUUCCUUUUUUGAGAGAGAAAAACUCAUGAAAUUUCAUGCAAAAGGUAAUGCAUAGCCAACCGGGCUCAAUCAUCUUUCGGCGGUUUUGGUUUGAUUCUUCCAACAUCUAGGGUAGCAUUCACACAAAAUCAACUCGUGUUCAAAAAUCUGAAAUUAAAAUUAACGAUGUGUCUCAGUAUAGAGAUAAGAACAUACCCCUCAAAUGGUUCGAGCCAAGGUCUAAUUCCUUCAGCAGUGUGAUAUUCCAAAUUUGAGUAGGCAUAUAUCCGCCAAAGUUGUUGUCUGACAAGCGAAUACUCUCAAGUUGUGGACAUUGGUACAAACUCGAUGGUAUAUCUCCUUCCAAAUUGUUAAAGGAUAGGUUCACUAGUUUAAGUCUUUGAAGGUUAUUGUACGUGCNUAGACAACAAGAAAUAUCUAUUGUCUAUUCUAUGACAAAAAAAUUAAAAAAUUCUAAUAUAUCUGCAUCCCUGUAUUACAAUACCAAUAUAUAUGAAAAAAUAAAAAUAAUUAAAAAUCAAAUAAUCAAACAAUACUUAUAAACCACUAAUACUCACAAUCAAAUAUUUACACAUCAGUGUAAAUAUUGGGUUCGAGUCCUCUGCGUGUGUUGAUCAAGCGGUAAGGGGUUAAUGCCUAAGGUCAAAGGUCUGGGAUUCGAGUCCCCUGUGGUGUAGCCUUUUAAUUUCGUUAUUUAAUAUUGUAAAUUUAUAAAAAAAAAAAAGUAUAUUUACACAUCAACAAUUGUAUUAUCUUUAAUACGCCUUCAUUCAUCUAAUAAAAAAAAUCUCUAAUAAAAUCUCCAACUAACUCCGGUCAUGAUCAUCUCUUGAAGGCGGAGGAAGGUGGAGUCCGUCGGGAAAUGGGUACUGCCUUGAUAGAUGAGAUCUUUCGGCUGGUCGCCCCAGAAGUCGUAGGUGAAGGACGUCGUUUGGGACAACGCCGUGUUGGAAACGGAGAGGAGGAGGACGAUGGAGGAGAGGAGAGGAGUUAAGGUUUGAAGAAGCUGGUUGGCCAUGGCUUAAUUGAUUUAGAUUUAGAGAUGUGGUGGAUGAUGGUGGUAUCGAUCUCUUGCACCUAUUUAUACUAGUAUGGUUCAUGCCUGUUAAUAAUUGUAUAUAUCAAUCAUCGUGCAUCUAUCCCAAAUUAUAUGUCUUAUUAUUCACUAAUUAGAUGGAUUAAAUCCUGAUUAGUAACCAUAAAAUUAAACUGUCAAUGAGGCCUUGCUCUAGUGGCAAAGCUGUGACACCGAAUAACUUUUCUUUGUGAAAUGUCUUGGGUUCAAUCUCGCCUGCAUGCGGUGAUGUGUGUCCAUUUUAGGUGGUGUGGUAUUCUUGUCUGCGUGCGGUGUUGUAUUGUUUAGUGUUGAGGUCCCACAUGCAGAGCGUUCUUGCCUGUGUACGUGUCACAGCCCAAAACCAUUUAUUUUCUUUACAAAUUUUAUAUAUGAAAAUUAUUUAAUUUUUAAGUUAUAGAGUUUUUGAAAUAUAUAUAGUAUCAAUUUUAUGUUAACUUAGUCGUGUCCCUAAUUAAAAGAAUGACUUUAAAAUAAAACUUAAGCCUUAAAAAUUUAAUCUACAUUCAUAUAUAACUGAAAUUACAUGCAUGUCUAAAUAUUAUUUAUAAUUAUCAAUAACAAGAUUAAUGAUUCUAUAUCUCUAUGUUUAUACAUGUAUUCACGUAUGACAUAGUAUAUAUUAGCUAUUAAGUUAAAAACUAAUAAAAUACUACACUUUUGCAUAGGAUAUAUAUUUAAUUAGUAGUAGGAUAGGACACGUGUAUUAAUUUUAAGGGCAAGUAAUCAAACUUUUGAAUGAUUCAUCAUGCUUAAAAAAAAAAGAGACCUAGAUAGAUGAUUCAUCAGAUUCAAAAACAAGUAUAAAUAGACUUCGGGUUUGAAAUUUUAAUUAAUUUGCAACAACAAUUCAAACUGACUGUAUUAAGGUAAGUAGUUACAGAUUUCAUACACAUAUUAUAUGAUUUCGCACACAUAUUAAGGUAAGUAUAUAUAAAUAUUUUUUAAAAUCAUAUAUUAUAUAAUAAUUAUAUUUAAGUUUUAUAUUAUUCUUUAUAAACUAUUGUUUCAUUCUAUAUAAUUAGGUGUGGCACGACUAGGACGUAACUUUCUAUUGAAUUUCUCAAGUUAAUCUUAGAGUUCAAGUUUCAGGUGUGAGAUUUAUUUAAAUACAUGUCGUACGUGGUUAUUUAUUGUCCAUUUUAAUAAGAUGUGUUUACCAUAUGUGUUAUGACGCAUAUUUUUAGGAUAUCACUAGGUGCCCAUAAAUAGGAUCCAGGACUUCACCGUCCUUGGAUUGCCACAAUGCGAUUUGAGGUUUAUUUUGAGGAUGUCGUUAGGGGCCCGUACAUAGGGUCCAGGACUUUAAUAGUCAUUGGGUUGCCAUAGUGCAAAUAUUGAGGAUAUAUAUGAAGUGACCGUAUGUGUUACCGUUUCAUUAACGUGGACAAUGAUUGCAUGUUUAAGAGACAAUAACCAAUUUUUCAGACAUUUGUGAACAAAAUGAAGCAUGUUUAGAGAUCCUUAAUACAGGUGUACGAAAUGAUGGAUAAAUAAGUUUGUGAAACAAAUUUCACCAUACCUAACCCCACAAUUAUUUGCGGUCGAAUUUCCUCGUCACAGGAAAAAGAGAUGAUGACAAAAGGGAAAAAAUUAAUUAACAAAGUAGAAGAUGCAUGACAACUGUAAAAGAAAAAUAAUGCUACUAAUUAAAUAGUCCAAACUUCAUACGUUUCAUAUCAUAAGUGGCAGUUCUAUUUUUUUUUUUGCGAAUGUGAACAAAAUAACGAAUAAUUUUUAAAGUAAUAGUAAUAAGGAGAUGUGUUUUGACAGAAAACGACAUGAGCGGCCUAAAAAUAAGAGGGAAAAAGAUAAUCAUAUAAAUAUUCAAAAUCAAACGGAUUGGCAUGUAUUCAUCAUUUUUUAUUUUUUAUUUUGAUAAUUUAACAGUACUCCCUCCGUCCGUCAAAAGUAGACCACUUUGGUUGGGCACGGGAUUUAAUAAAAUUAGUGAUGAUUUUGAUGUAGUAGAGAAAGAGUUCCACCACUUUAUGAGAUGUGUGGUUGAGAUUGAAUUUGUUGUGAUUUUUUUGUAAAUAAAGAGUGUUUGUAAGGAUAAAAGAUUAAAGUGGGUGGUGGGACCAUUUCCAUAAAAGGAAAGUGGUCUACUAUUUGCGGACGCCCAAUAUAGUAAAAGUAGUCUACUUUUGGCGGACGGGGAGAGUAUUAAAUAAAUAAAUUUAAAGGUUGCACCCCUUACUGCUUGGCUUUUAGAUUAUGUUAUAAUAAUAAAAUUAACAGCACGUUUACAAUAUAAAAUUAAUUAUGAUAAAUACAAUAUAUUAAUAAUAAAUACUCAAUUACCUCUUAACAUAAUUCGCGCAUCAUGGCUUUUAGCUUAUAUUAUAAAGAUAUAAUAUGUUGUCUAUAAUAAUCGACGGAAGGUAAUAGACAACAUGUUUUAUAUGUUGUCUAUAAUAAUAUAGACAGUAGAUCUAGUGUUAUAGAUAACAAUUAAUACUUGUUGUCUAUAUGAUGAUAGACACCAAAAAUCUCUGUUGUCUAUUCUAUGACAAAAAAAUUUAAAAAAAUUCUAAUAUAUUUACAUCCCUGUAUUACAAUACCAAUAUAUAUGAAAAAAUAAAAAUAAUUAAAAAUCAAAUAAUCAAACAAUACUUAUAAACCACUAAUACUCACAAUCAAAUAUUUACACAUCAACAACUGUAUUAUCUUUAAUUACGCCUUCAUUUAUCUAUUAAAAAAAAUCUCUAAUAAAAUCUCUAACUAACUCCGGUCAUCAUCUCUUGAAGGCUUAGAAAAUGUCCAAAUACAGCGGCACAUGCUCAUUAUUGUGUGAGCGAUGAGAACUUUGCGCUGAACCUAUAAAGUAACUAUACUUAACUGGUAAAGUAAUUGUAUCCCGUGAAUCUAAAGGAAGACUACACACGUUGAUAGAGUUUGAAAGAAAAGAAUAAAGAGAAUGAAAAUCCAAAGAAUUUGCUUCUUCCGUUGAACAAUCCCUACACAACAUUGAAAUAUCAAUGAAAAUAAUGGCUAUCGUAUACUCCCUCCAUCCAUGAAAGAACUUCAUAGGAGGGAGUGACACGGGUUUUAAGAAAAAAUAUUGUUAAGUGUAUUGAGAGUGGAUAAAAGGUAGUUGAGUGUAUUGGGAGUGGUGAAAAUGUGUUAUAGUUAAUAUUGAGAGUUGUGAAAAGUGAAAAGUAAGAGGAUUAUAAGUGGUGGGGUAUAGUCCAAAAAUAGGUAGGAAGUUCUUUUGUGGACGUCCCAAAAAGGAAAGAUAUGAAGUUCUUUCGUGGACGGAGGGAGUAUUAUUUUGCAGCAGCAACCACGUUUGAAAACUCGAUCCCUCUGUUCUUGAAUUUGUGAAAUUUCCGACUGAUUUAUUAGAUUCACCAUUUAUUUCAGUUUAAUUAGUCUAUAUAUAGAUAUUUCUUAUAUUAUUAAAUUGUUAACCUCAUGGUAGAUUUCAAGAUUUGAAAAUUCAACAAAGAGCUUGAGAAUUAUUGAGAUUGGAAGGGGAAGAUGAAACAUAAUUGGGUGAAAUUAGAAACCAAUUAAAGUCACAAGAUUGAACAAAAACAUAACUUAAAAACACAAAAUAAGCAAAUCGUAGAUGCAGUAUCUUGCAAGAAAAAGUUCAUAUUCCCAAGGCUAUGAUGAGCACGAAUUAGGGUGUGUCUGCAUUUUAUCCCUCUAAAUAGAGGAAUAACAAAAUUUUAUUCUUUAAAUGUUUGCUUUCUUAUCACACAUUCUACACAAACACCAUUUUUUCUUCCUUAUUUUCACUUCAAGGAGGANUAAUAUUAUCCCUCCAAUUUUGGUGUGAUAAUAUUAUCUCUUCUUGAAGUGAAAAUAAGGAAGAAAAAAUGGUAUUUGUGUAGGAUGUGGGAUAAGAAAGCAAACAUUUAAAGGUAUAAAUUUUUGUUAUUCCUCAUUUAGAGGAAUAAAAAGCAAACACACAUUAGAGUCUACUUACAAUUUAGGCGCAGGCUGUGCGAGAAUUACUUAGUCGAAUAGGAUCCUAAGUAUUUAUAUUUCUCAUGUUCUUGUGUAUUUUUUUACUGAUUCACUAUUGGAUUAACAAGAAUUAUCUUACUUUAAAUUUCUUGCUUUAAAAAAAAAAAAGAAUUAUCUUACUUCAUGUAUGGUAUGCCAACUGUUCGAUAAAGGUCCUUUUAGAAAUCUUCUAUUGAUUACCUUGCGAAGACCACAAAACUAGACACACCCAAAAGCAUUCUUGCAUAGUUUAUACAUAGAGAUGGCCGAUUGAUGAUCGUCUUAUUUGUAGACUUAACGCGAGCAGACUCGAUCGCUUAGUCCUUAUUGAUUUACGACACACAUGCUCACACACACACAUACACACAUCACAAAAUCACACAAAUUGACGGAUAAUGUUGCCGUUCAGCUCCUUCCUGAACCUCACCGCGGCAUUUUUCUGCACCAUAGUGGCCGUGAAAUACCACGAGACGAUGUCAUGGACGGCGACGUGUUGUCCGGUGGCGGCGGAUAGCCCGACCUGAACCUGCUGAGGAACAAAGUCGCUCAAAUCGUACUCAUAGUUGACAUCAAAUGUCUGCGAGCCGGCGGUGACUUUCACGGAGAUCAUCCUUGUGGCUCCGACGUAGUUGAUCCGCGCAGUCACCUGCUGCCCGAGUAUGGAGUUGUCGACCUUCGUCGUGUUGCUGGAUGCCCUAGAGCCGAAGUCGAUGCCGAUGUGGGGAUAGAGCGGAUCCCACGCGCCGUUGACGUAGGUGUCGAUUUCGACGGCGAAGACCGAGGGGCUGUUGCCGUUGGAGCCAAAGAUUCCGAGGUUGGCUCCGUUGGAGCCAGGGGGGAUGGUGGAACCGACGGGGGCAAUGAAGAAGGCGAGGCCGUCGGCAGGCUCGUUGUCGGCGCCCGGGGUGAUGAUGAAGUUCACAGUGGUUUCGAAGUCGACCUGCCCACCGGACUGCGAGAAUUGGACCGGGUUCGAGUGCAAGACGCGGCCGACUUGUGAGGGCUGUGCGUCUGUGAGGCGGAGGAAGGUGGAGUCCGUCGGGAAAUGGGCGCUGCCUUGAUAGAUGAGAUCUUUCGGCUGGUCGCCCCAGAAGUCGUAGGUGAAGGACGUCGUUUGGGACAACGCCGUGUUGGAAACGGCGAGGAGGAGGGCGAUGGAGGCGAGGAGAGGAGUUAAGGUUUGAACAAGCUGGUUGGCCAUGGCUUAAUUGAUUUAGAUUUAGAUUUAGAGAUGUGGUGGAUGAUGGUGGCCAGGUAUCGAUCUCUUGCACCUAUUUAUACUAGUAUGGUUCAUGCCUGUUAAUAAUUGUAUAUAUCAAUCAAUCAUCGUGCAUCUAUCCCAAAUUAUAUGUCUUAUUAUUCACUAAUUAGAUGGAAUAAAUCCUAAUUAGCAAUCUUAAAAUUACACCGCCAAUGAGGCCUUGCUCUAGUGGUAAAGCUGUGGCACCGAAUAACUUUUCUUUGUGAAAGGUCUUGGGUUCAAUCUCGCCUGCAUGCGGUGAUGUUUGUCCAUUUUAGAUGGUGUGGUAUUCUUGCCUGCGUGCGGUGUUGUAUUAUUUAGUCUUAGGCGUUCUUGCCUGUGUGCAUAUCACUGUGUGACAAUUAAAAGAAUGACUUUAAAAUAAAAGUUAAGCCUUAAAAAUUUAAUCUACAUUCAUAUAUAACUGAAAUUACAUGCAUGUCUAAUUUUUUUAAUAUCAUAACAAGAUAAGAUUUAUUAAAUAAUUCAGAUGCAUAAAUAAAAAGUUAAUCUAUAAACACAGUAUAGAUAUAUUAUCAAUGAUAGGCCGUGUAUAAGUCUUAAUCUGUAAAACUAUAUCAUCCCAGCCUUAAACGACUACCAUUCCUGCUUUCCCAGAGCAACCACACUGUUCCCACCCACAAAGCUUUAAGCAGUACAUGCAUGUCUAAAUAUUAUUUAUAAUUAUCAAUAACAAGAUUAAUGAUUCUAUAUCUCUAUGUUUAUACAUAUAUUCACGUAUGACAUAGUAUAUAUUAGCUAUUAAGUUAAAAACUAAUAAAAUACUACAGUUUUGCAUAGGAUAUAUAUUUAAUUAGUAGUAGGAUAGGACACGUGUAUUAAUUUUAAGGGCAAGUAAUCAAACUUUUGAAUGAUUCAUCAUGCUUAAAAAAAAAAAGAGACCUAGAUAGAUGAUUCAUCAGAUUCAAAAACAAGUAUAAAUAGACUUCGAGUUUGAAAUUUUAAUUAAUUUGCAACAACAAUUCAAACUGACUGUAUUAAGGUAAGUAGUUACAGAUUUCAUACACAUUAUAUGAUUUCGCGCACAUACGUAUGUAUAUAUAAAUAUUUUUUAAAAUCAUAUACUCCCUCCGUCCCCAAAAUAAGUUCCUCUUUGGGGACGGCACGGAUUUUAAGGAAAAGUGGUAAAGUGUAUUAAUAGUGGAGAAAAAUAUGUUAUAAUUAGUAUUGGAAGUUGUGAAAAGGUGAAAAAGUGUUAUAAUUAGUAUUGGGAGUGGUGAAAAAGUGAAAAGUAAGAAUAAAUAAAGUAUUAUUAGUGGUGGGGUAGUUGUCCAAAAAUGGAAAAAAAGAAAGAGGAACUUAUUUGGGGGACAUCCCAAAAUGGAAAAAGAGGAACUUAUUUCAGGGACGGAGGGAGUAUUAUAUAAUAAUUAUAUUUAAGUUUUAUAUUAUUCUUUAUAAACUAUUGUUCCAUUCUAUAUAAUUAGGUGUGGCACGACUAGGACGUAACUUUCGAUUGAAUUUCUCAAGUUAAUUUUCAAGUUCAAGUUUCAGGUGUGAGAUUUAUUUAAAUACAUGUCAUGAUUAUUCAUUGUCCAUUUUAAUAGUAUGUGUUUACCAUAUGUGUUAUGACGCAUAUUUUGAGGACAUCGCUAGGAGCCCAUAAAUAGGGUCCAGGACUUCACCGUCCUUGGAUUGCCACAAUGCGAUUUGAGGUUUAUUUUGAGGAUGUCGUCAGGGGCCCGUAAAUAGGGUCCAGGACUUUAAUAGUCAUUGGGUUGCCACAGUGCGAAUAUUGAAGAUAUAUAUGAAGUGACCGUAUGUGUUACCGUUUCAUUAACGUGGACAAUGAUUGCAUGUUUAAGAGACAAUAACCAAUUUUUCAGACAUUUGUGAACAAAAUGAAGCAUGUUUAGAGAUCCUUAAUAAAGGUGUACGAAAUGAUGGAUAAAUAAGUUUGUGAAACAAAUUUCACCAUACCUAACCCCACAAUUAUUUGCGGUCGAAUUUCCUCGUCACAGGAAAAAGAGAUGAUGACAAAAGGGCAAAAAUUAAUUAACAAAGUAGAAGAUGCAUGACAACUGUAAAAGAAAAAUAAUGCUACUAAUUAAAUAGUCCAAACUUCAUACGUUUCAUAUCAUAAGUGGCAGUUCUAUUUUUUUUUUGCGAAAGUGAACAAAAUAACGAAUAAUUUUUAAAGUAAUAGUAAUAAGGAGAUGUGUUUUGACAGAAAACGACAUGAGCGGCCUAAAAAUAAGAGGGAAAAAGAUAAUCAUAUAAAUAUGGGUUAAUUGCCUCUAAAUACACCACCUUUCCUUGAAUUCUACAAUUGCACAUCACCUUUAAAAUCCGCCCUUAAAUACACCACCUUUCCUUGAGUUCUACAAUUGCACAUCACCUUUAAAUCCGCCCCAAAAUACAUCAUCUUUAUAUUUUUUCUGUUUUUGCACAUGACUAAAAAAUUCUCAAGAAAUAAAUUAAAGUGUUAAUUUAUAAAUUUAAAUAUCUUUUUAGCAGCGAAAACAUAAUAAAAUAAAAUUCUUUAUAAAGUUUAAAAUCAUAUAUAUAUAUAUAUAUAUAUAAGUAUUUUCGUAAAGAAAUAAAUUCUCUAAUAAAUUUUUAGAAAGAACUUGAAUUAAAAAAAUAAACAAGUCAUGACAUUAAGAAAAUAAAAUGAAAUUUUUAUUUUAAUAAAUUUCACACGAAUUCGAUAUAAUUUGGAAUUUAGAGUUACAAUAAUCAGAAGUACCACAUGAAUAAUAUAAUGAGUUUGAAAGAAAUUUUUUUUAAAGAGGUUCGACACGCCCAUUCGACUUUCCACGCGCCUCCAAUGUCAUUUACCUGAAAUAUUAANUAUAUAAGUAUUUUUCGUAAAGAAAUAAAUUCUCUAAUAAAUUUUUAGAAAGAACUUGAUUAAAAAAUAAACAAGACAUGACAUUAAGAAAAUAAAAUGAAACUUUUAUUUUAAUAAAUUUCACACGAAUUCGAUAUAAUUUGGAAUUUAGAGUUACAAUAAUAAAAAGAACCACAUAAAUAAUAUAAUCAGUUUGAAAGAAAUAUAUAUAUAUUUUUUUAAAGAGGUUCGACGCGCCCAUUCGACUCUCCACGCGCUACCAAUGUCAUUACCUGAAAUACUAAAUAUGGGAUAAGCAUACAUAAUAUACUUAGUGUGGGAACAUGCAAUUAUUGUCCACGUUAAUAAAAUAGUAACACAUACGAUCAUAACAUUCAAAACGACACAAUUUUGCCAAUAUGGAAGCCACGUCAUUUAAAGUGGUAACACCCUAAUCUAACUAAAGUGUUAAAUAUAAAUUUAAAGCGGAAAUAUAAUAAAAUAAAGUUCUUUAUAAAAAUAAAUAAAGAAUUUUAUUUUAUUAUAUUUCCGCUGCUAAAAAAGAUAUUUAAAAUUUAUAAAUUAACACUUUAAUUUAUUUCUUGAGGAUUUUUAAGUCAUGUGCAAAAACAGAAAAAAAAUAUAAAGGUGAUGUAUUUUGGGGCGGAUUUAGAAUUCAAGGAAAUGUGGUGUAUUUAGGGGCGGAUUUUAAAGGUGAUGUGCAAUUGUAGAAUUCAAGGAAAGGUGGUGUAUUUAGGGGAAAUUAACCCUAUAAAUAUUCAAAAUCAAACGGAUUGGCAUGUAUUCAUCAUUUUUUAUUUUUUAUUUUGAUAAUUUAACAGUAUUAAAUAAAGAAAUUUAUAGGCUGCGUCCCUUACUGCUUGGCUUUUAGAUUAUGUUGUAAUAAUAAAAUUAAAAGCACGUUUACAAUAUAAAAUUAAUUAUGAUAAAUACAAUAUAUUAAUAAUAAAUACUCAAUUACCUCUUAACAUAAUUCGCGCAUCAUGGCUUUUAGCUUAUAUUAUAAAGAUAUAAUAUGUUGUCUAUAAUAAUCGACGGAAGGUAAUAGACAACAUGUUUUACUUCUUGUCUAUAAUAAUAUAGACAGUAGAUCUAGUGUUAUAGAUAACAAUUAAUACGUGUUGUCUAUAUGAUGAUAGACACCAAAAAUCUCUGUUGUCUAUUCUAUGACAAAAAAAUUUAAAAAAAUUCUAAUAUAUUUACAUCCCUGUAUUACAAUACCAAUAUAUAUGAAAAAAUAAAAAUAAUUAAAAAUCAAAUAAUCAAACAAUACUUAUAAACCACUAAUACUCACAAUCAAAUAUUUACACAUCAACAAUUGUAUUAUCUUUAAUUACGCCUUCAUUUAUCUACUAAAAAAAAUCUCUAAUAAAAUCUCUAACUAACUCCGGUCAUCAUCUCUUGAAGGCUUAGAAAAUGUCCAAAUACAGCGGCACAUGCUCAUUAUUGUGUGAGCGAUGAGAACUUUGCGCUGAACCUAUAAAGUAACUAUACUUAACUGGUAAAGUAAUUGUAUCCCGUGAAUCUAAAGGAAGAAUAAACACGUUGAUAGAGUUUGAAAGAAAAGAAUAAAGAGAAUGAAAAUCCAAAGAAUUUGCUUCUUCCGUUGAACAAUCCCUACACAACGUUGAAAUAUCAAUGAAAACAAUGGCUAUCCUAUACUCCCUCCAUCCAUGAAAGAACUUCCUAGGAGGGAGUGACACGGGUUUUAAGAAAAAAUAUUGUUAAGUGUAUUGAGAGUGGAUAAAAGGUAGUUGAGUGUAUUGGGAGUGGUGAAAAUGUGUUAUAGUUAAUAUUGAGAGUUGUGAAAAGUGAAAAGUAAGAGGAUUAUAAGUGGUGGGGUAUAGUCCAAAAAUAGGUAGGAAGUUCUUUUGUGGACGUCCCAAAAAGGAAAGAUAUGAAGUUCUUUCGUGGACGGAGGGAGUAUUAUUUUGCAGCAGCAACCACGUUUAAAAACUCGAUCCCUCUAUUCUUGAAUUUGUGAAAUUUCCGACUGAUUUAUUAGAUUCACCAUUUAUUUCAGUUUAAUUAGUCUAUAUAUAGAUAUUUCUUAUAUUAUUAAAUUGUUAACCUCAUGGUAGAUUUCAAGAUUUGAAAAUUCAACAAAGAGCUUGAGAAUUAUAGAGAUUGGAAGGGGAAGAUGAAACAUAGUUGGGUGAAAUUAGAAACCAAUUAAAGUCAGGAGAUUGAAGAAAAACAUAACUUAAAAACACAAAAUAAGCAAAUCGUAGAUGCAGUAUCUUGCAAGAAAAAGUUCAUAUUCCCAAGGCUAUGAUGAGCACGAAUUAGGGUGUGUCUGCAUUUUAUCCCUCUAAAUGGAGGAAUAAUAAAAUUUUAUGCCUUUAAAUGUUUGCUUUCUUAUCACACAUUCUAAACAAACACCAUUUUUUCUUCCUUAUUUUCACUUCAAUGAGGGAUAAUAUUAUCCCUCCAAUUUUGGUGUGAUAAUAUUAUCCCUCCUACAAGUGAAAAUAAGGAAGAAAAAAUGGUACUCCCUUCGUCCCAAACGAAAUGUCCUGUUUUCCUUUUUGGGCUGUCCCAAACGAAAUGUCCUGUUUCCUUUUUUGGCAAUACACUCUCUCUCUAUACUUAAUAUUUAAAUAAUUUUCACCAACCCACUUUAUCUACUUUAUACACAUUUCUUAAUCUCCGUGCCGAAAAGAAAUGGGACAUUUCGUUUGGGACGGAGGGAGUAUUUGUGUAGGAUGUGGGAUAAGAAAACAAACAUUUAAAGACAUAAAUUUUUGUUAUUCCUCCAUUUAGAGGGAUAAAAAGCAAACACACCUUAGAGUCUAAUUACAAUUUAGGCGCAGGCUGUGUGAGAAUUACUUAGUCGAAUAGGAUCCUUAGUAUUUAUAUUUCUCAUGUUCUUGUGUAUUUUUUCACUGAUUCACUAUUGGAUUAACAAGAAUUAUCUUACUUUAAAAAAAAAAAAGAAAUGAUCUUACUUCAUGUAUGGUAUGCCAACUGUUCGAUAAAGGUCCUUUUAGAAAUAUUCCAUAGAUUACCUUGCAAAGACCACAAAACUAGACACACCCUGCAUAGUUUAUACAUAGGGAUGGCCGAUUGAUGAUCGUCUUAUUUGUAGACUUAACGAGAGCAGACUCGAUCGCUUAGUCCUUACUGAUUUACGACACACAUGCACACAUACACAGAUACACACAUCACAAAAUCACGCAAAUUGACGGAUAAUGUUGCCGGCCAGCUCCUUCCUGCUCCACGCCACGGCAUUUUUCUGCACCAUGGUGGCCGUGAAAUACCACGAGACGAUGUCAUGGGUGGCGACGUGUUGUCCGGUGGCGGCGGAUAGCCCGACCUGAACCUCCUGAGCAACAAAGUAGCUCAAAUCGUACUCAUAGCUGACAUCAAACGUCUGAUUGCCGGCGGUGACUUUGACGGAGAUCAUCCUUGUGGCUCCGACGUAGUUGAUCCGCGCAGUUACCUGCUGCUUGAGUAUGGAGCUGUCGACCGGCGUCGUCUUGCUGGAUACCCUAGAGCCGAAGUCGAUGCCGAUGUGGGGAUAGAGCGGAUCCCACGCGCCGUUGACGUAGGUGUCGAUUUCAACGGCGAAGACCCCGGGGCUGUUGCCGUUGGAGCCAAAGAUUCCGAGAUUGGCUCCGUCGGAGCCAGGGGGGAUGGUGGAGUCGACGGGGGCAAUGAAGAAGGCGAGGCCGUCGGCAGGCUCGUUGUCGGCGCCGGGGGUGAUGAUGAAGUUCACGGUGGUUUCGAAGUCGACCUGCCCAUUGGACAUCCAGAAUUGGACCGGUUCCGAGUACAUGACGCGGCCGACUUGGGACGGUUGUGCGUCUGUGAGGCGGAGGAAGGUGGAGUCCGUCGGGAAAUGGGCGUUGCCUUGAUAGAUGAGAUCUUUCGGCUGGUCGCCCCAGAAGUCGAAGGUGAACGACGUCGUUUGGGACAACGCCGUGUUGGAAACGGCGAGGAGGAGGGCGAUGGAGGCGAGGAGAGGAGUUAAGUUGGCCAUGGCUUAAUAGAUUUAGAUUUAGAGAUGUGGUGGAUGAUGGUGGUAUCGAUCUGUUGCACCUAUUUAUACUAGUAUGGUUCAUGCCUGAUAAUAAUUGUAUCAAUCAAUCAUCGUGCAUCUAUCCCAAAUUAUAUGUCUUAUUAUUCACUAAUUAGAUGGAAUAAAUCCUAAUUUGCAAUCUUAAAAUUAAACCGCCAAUGAGGCCUUGCUCUAGUAGCAAAGCUGUGGCACCCAAUAACUUUUCUUUGUGAAAGGUCUUGGGUUCAAUCUCGCCUGCAUGCGGUGAUGUUUGCCCACUUUAGGUGGUGUGGUAUUCUCGCCUGCGUGCGGUGUUAUAUUGUUUAGUGUUAAGGUCCCACAUGCAGGGCGUUCUUGCAUGUGUGCGUGUCACAACCCAAAACCAUUUAUUUUCUUUACAAAUUUUAUAUGAAAAUUAUUUGAUUUUUAAGUUAUAGAGUUUUCGAUAUAUAUACAUAUAGUGUCAAUUUUAUGUUAACUUAGUCGUGUCCCUAAUUAAAAGAAUGAAUUUGAAAUAAAAGUUAAGCCUUAAAAAUUUAAUCUACAUUCAUAUAUAACUGAAAUUACAUGCAUGUCUAAAUAUUAUUUAUAAUUAUCAAUAACGGGAUUAAUGAUUCUAUAUCUCUAUGUUUAUACAUAUAUUCACGUAUGACAUAGUAUAUAUUAGCUAUUAAGUUAAAUAAAAUACUACAGUUUUGCAUAGGAUAUAUAUUUAAUUAGUAGUAGGAUAGGACACGUGUAUUAAUUUUAAGGGCAAGUAAUCAAACUUUUGAAUGAUUCAUCAUGCUUAAAAAAAAGAGACCUAGAUAGAUGAUUCAUCAGAUUCAAAAACAAGUAUAAAUAGACUUCGAGUUUGAAAUUUUAAUUAAUUUGCAACAACCAUUCAAACUGACUGUAUUAAGGUAAGUAGUUACAGAUUUCAUACACAUUAUAUGAUUUCGCGCACAUACGUAUGUAUAUAUAAAUAUUUUUUAAAAUCAUAUAUUAUAUAAUAAUUAUAUUUAAGUUUUAUAUUAUUCUUUAUAAACUAUUGUUCCAUUCUAUAUAAUUAGGUGUGGCAUGACUAGGACGUAACUUUCGAUUGAAUUUCUCAAGUUAAUCUUCAAGUUCAAGUUUCAGGUGUGGGAUUUAUUUAAAUACAUGUCGUGGUUAUUUAUUAUCCAUUUUAAUAAUAUGUGUUUACCAUAUGUGUUAUGAUGCAUAUUUUGAGGAUAUCGCUAGGGGCCCAUAAAUAGGGUCCAGGACUUCACCGUCCUUGGAUUGCCACAAUGCAAUUUGAGGUUUAUUUUGAGGAUGUCGUCAGGGAUCCGUAAAUAGGGUCCAGGACUUUAAUAGUCCUUGGGUUGCCACAGUGCGAAUAUAUUGAGGAUAUAUAUGAAGUGACCGUAUGUGUUACCGUUUCAUUAACGUGGACAAUGAUUGCUUGUUCUCACACUGAGUGUACUCUGUAUGCUCAUCCCAUAUUUAACGUGGAAGGUCGAUUGACGAAUCAAAUAUUUUGUAUUUAGCUUUACCUAAAUAUGUUAUUUUGAGUAAAGUAUUUUAAAUAAAAAUUUAUUUCAUAAUUUUCUCAUUAAAUAUUUAUUUAUAUUCAUAGCUUUUCCGCACAAAUAUUUAUUUAAAUUUUAAUUAGAUUUGGGUGUCACUGUGCGGUGAUGUUUUUCCACCGUUUCGGUGGUGGUGAGGCCCCACCUGCGUGCACGUUAUAUACUUGAUUAUAUUCAGAUACCUCUUGUAAUUUUUAAAAAAAUAAUCAUAAAAUUAAACCAAAGCAUAUAAAAUUGAAAUUGGCCAAAAAAAUAUAUAAAAAUAAAUAAAAUUAAAAAUGGGAUAUAAAGUGAGACAUUAAAUGUGGUACACUACUGAAUCUCAAUCCAACACGUGGAUGCUACAUUGUACUUGUCGGAAUAUUAGAACUUCUACAAAAUAUUGCUAUUGGAAACGUGAAAUUUUAUUAUGAGAAAACUUAUACCUGACCCCACAGUCGUGGGCACGUGUUAUGUUGCGCGGAAAUUAAAGUGGUGGGGACCGUAAAUGGUAUUUUAGUCUUUUAAUUUAUUUUAGUAUACAAAAGAGUUAAUUUUAAAGAGGCGCUAAAAAACACAUCACUUUUAAAAAUUGGUAUUUAAAAUCUUGAACCCCUUUUAUUAUUUUAGAAAGAUAUUAAUUAAUUGAUAAAUUAAUAAAUUAUUAAUUGAAACAAUUAUUUUAAGCAAAUUUAAUUAUAAUUACCUAAAAAUUUAAAAAACAUAAAUUCAAUACCAUUCAAAUUCAACAAACUAACUUAAAUUUUUACUUUAAAAAAUCUUCAUCAAUCUUGCAAUCUCGGCUUGGACUAUAAAUGUUCAACAAGAGACAAUAACCAAUUUUUCAGACAUUUGUGAACAAAAUGAAGCAUGUUUAGAGAUCCUUAAUAAAGGUGUACGAAAUGAUGGAUAAAUAAGUUUGUGAAAAUUUCACCAUACCUAACCCCACAAUUAUUUGCGAUCGAAUAUCCUCGUCACAGGAAAAAGAGAUGAUGACAAAAGGGAAAAAAAAAUUAACAAAGUAGAAGAUGCAUGACAACUGUCAAGAUAAAUAAUGUUACUAAUUAAAUAAUCCAAACUUUAUACGUUUCAUAUCAUAAGUGGCAGUUCUAUAUUUUUUGCGAAAGUGAACAAAAUAACGAAUAAUUUUUAAAGUAAUAGUAAAAGGAGAUGUGUUUUGACAGAAAACGACAUGAGCGGCCUAAAAAUAAGAGGGAAAAAGAUAAUCAUAUAAAUAUUCAAAAUCAAACGGAUUGGCAUGUAUUCAUCAUUUUUUAUUUUAAUAAUUUAACAGUAUUAAAUCAAGAAAUUUAAAGACCGCGCCCCUUACUGCUUGGCUUUAAGAUUAUGUUACAAUAAUAAAAUUAACAGCACGUUUACAAUAUAAAAUUAAUUAUGAUAAAUGCAAUAUAUUAAUAAUAAAUACUCAAUUACCUCUUAACAUAAUUCGCGCAUCAUGGCUUUUAGCUUAUGUUAUAAAGAUGGAGUAUAAAAUAAUCAUCACCUGUGCAUGAUAUUUCACAAAAUAAUUAAAUAAUAAAAUAAUCAAUCAUAAUGCCAAGACGUGACUCUUGUCGGUCAUAUCUCAUCAACUUUAUCUAUAUAGUACAAUGAUGAUUAAUUUGAGAACGACGAUUAAGACACCAACUAUUCUUGUGGGGACACAUGCAUAUAUAGAAUUAAUAUUAUAAACUCUCUCGGUCCACGAAAUAACUUACUAUUUUUUCUUUUAAGAACGUGAACAAAAAAAAUUCCCAUCGAUAUUUCGGAACUAUACCCCACUACUUUAAAAUACCUCAUUUUACCCUUUCUUUUUCACAAAAACAACAAAUUACUAAUAAUUUUUCACUAUUCCUAAUAUACUGAACAAUUUUUCUCCACUCUCAAAUUUUGUAGCACCGAAUAAAAUUAAAUACUAGUAUUAUUUUUUGUAGAACUAUAAAUAAAUAUUAUUCUCAAAACAUGUACUAUUACUUACUAUUUUUUUUAAAUGUGGGACGACCAAAAAAGGAAAGAUGAAUUCUAAAAGCUGGGACAGAGGAUAUAUUAUUUUUCUUCUUGGUUCUGAAGUAUGAAUAUUAAUUAACAAUUCUUCGUCCACAUCAAGCUCACCUUCACGUAAUUUUUUCUUGAACAACACCGAAAAAUAUAUAAUCCCAACAUAGCAUGAUCAAUCUCAAUGCACCAAACAUAAAUUAGUUUUAAAAUAAUAAUAAGAUUAACUACUAUAUUGCUGAAUUAUGCAGUAGAAUUAAAAGCGUGAUUUUUUUUUAAUAGAGCAGGUUAAUCUAGGCCUACCUGAACCAUCUGACUAUGCAUGAGUUUGAUUUUUCUUCUUGAUCUUUUUUAAUUUUACCGACAAAGAAGAUUUUCACAAAUGAAAAGAAAACGUUCUAGUAACAUACUACAUGCUUACUUCAGAUUUGCAACCAAGUCUAUUGAGGGUUUUAUUUGCUACAUAUAUAAACACAAGGAUUUGGUUUGAUACAAAUUAAGAAUAUUCAACUUUCAUCGGCUCAAGCACAUAGAAUCUCCCCGAGUAGUUAUAACUGGUCAAUGUUUUUGCCGAUAAAAAGGAAAAGGAAAGAAAAAAGAAAGAAGCAAGACGGAGAAAAAGUUGUAGUAAAUGAUUAUGCGAUGAAAAGAAAAUGGAAAAGAGAAAGAAAGAAGAAAGUUGUAGGAAUUUUGAAGAAUUUGUACUUAUUUAGAAUUGUGGUUAUUGUGGGAUCUUGUAUAAUAAUAAUAAUAAUAAUAAUAAUAAUAAUAAUAAUUAUUGGGCCGUUCCACGAAUCUUGGCACAUUUUCAAAUAAGGUAAUAAUUCAUUCUCUCUCUUACUUUAUCACUUUAAUACUUUAUUAACUACAAACUUAAAACACUAAUAUACAAUUCCUUAAUUCCCGUGUCGAAACCAAACGUGUCAAGAUUCGUUGGAUGGAGGGAGUAAUAAUAAUAAUAAUAAUAAUAGUAAUAAUAAUAAUAAUAAUAAUAAUAAUACAUCAUUGCCCUUUAAAAAGUUUUAAAAUAGGAACAUAAUAUGUAAAUCUAAUUUUGUAAAAGAAGCUCUUCUAUAGUAAUAGUUAUAGAUUUGGUGUGGAGGCAUUUGUUUGAGAAUGGGUAAAACAUACCAUUAACCCUUUGAUAUAUGCACGAGACACUUAUUUGUGGAUAGGACAAGAAUUAUUUUGUUGCAUAGGAUCCCUUCCAAAUGUAAUUACUGAUUCACAAUUGGAUUAACAAGAAUUAACUUACUUCAUAUUCAGUAUUCCAACUGUUCGAUAAAAGUUCUUAAUGAAAUCUUCCAUAGAUUACCCAAAUGCAUUGUUUUGCAUAGUCCGUACAUUGAGAUGGUCGAGUAUCUUAUGUCUAGACUUAACGAGAGCAGACUCGAUCGCUUAGUCCUUAUUUAUUUACGACACACACACAUCUCAAAAUCACACAAAUUGACGAAUAAUGUUGCCAGCCAGCUCCUUCCUGUUCCACGCGCCAGCAUUUGUCUUCACCAUGGUGGCUGUGAAAUACCAUGAGAUAAUAUCAUGUUUGGCGACGUAUGGUUGGUUUAGUCCGCUGGCGGCGGAGAGCCCUACCUGAACCUGCUCAGGAAGAAACUCGCCCAAAUUGUACACAUGGCUGACCUCAAACGUCUUCGAGCCGGCGGUGGCACUGACGGUGAUCAUCUUCGUGGCUCCGACGUAGUUGAUCCGCGCAGUCACCUGCUGUCCGACUAUGGCGUCUCCGACAUUCGUCGUGUUGCUGGAUUCCCUAGAUCCGAGGUCGAUGCCGAUGUGGGGAUAGUUCGGAUCCCACGGGCUGUUGAUGAAGGUGUCGAACUCGACGGCGAAGACCGAGGGGCUAUUGCCGUUGGAGCCGAAAAUUCCGAGGUUGGCCCCAACAGCGCCACUGGGGAUGGUGGAGCCGACGGGGGCAAUGAAGAAAGCGAGGCCGUCAGCGGUUUUGCCAUCGGGGCUGGGUGUGAUGAUGAAGUUAAUGGUGGUUUCAAAGUCGACUUGGCCACCGGAUUGGGAGAACUGGACCGGCUUCGAGUACAAGACCCGGCCGACCUGGUAUGUCUCGAAGUCGGUGAGGCGGAGGAAGGUGGAGUCCGAUGGGAAAUGGGCGUGGCCUUGGUAGGUGAGAUCGGUCGGCUGGUCGCCCCAGAAGUCGUAGGUGAAGGACGUUGUUUGGGACCACACCGUGUUGGCAGCGGCGGCAAGGAGAAGGGCGAUGGAGAUUAGGGUUUGUUGAAGGUUGGCCAUCGCUUAAUUGAUUUGGAUGUGGUGGAUGAUGGUGGUAUCUUUAUCUUGCUUCUAUUUAUAGUAGUAUAACGAGCCCUAGUUAAUUAUCUUUAAAUCAUACUAAAAUAUCAUAAAUUAAAAUUGAAGAAAAAAAAGUUAAAACCUACUCUCGCAGUCCCUCAAAUAACUUCUUAGGAGAAGAGGGGUAGGAGUUUUAAGACGAAGUUAAUGUGCAAAGUAAGGAUAAAUGAAGUAUUAUAUAUAUAUUAGUACUAGUGUGGUAUAGUCCAAAAUUAAAAAAUAAAGUUUUUUUAAAAAUGGACCAAAUAGAAGAGUUAGGAAGUUAUUGGGGGAAAAGUGGAAGACAACAUAUUGAAAGUGGGAUAUGUGGUACACAAUAAGUUGUAGGACAAAGGAUAUCGCAUGUUGUUGGAAUAUAAACUUGAUUUGUAUAGAUAUUUUAUAAAGAGUAUUCUAGAUAUUUUGAAAAGUAGAAGAAAAAAGAAAAAUCUAGAAUAGUUGAGAAUAAGAUAGAAAAAGAAGAAAAUUCUAGAAUAGUUGAGAAUGAUGAGGAGAUGAAGAAAAAUCUAGAAUUGUUGAGAAUGAGUUAGGAUAAAGUAGAAUUAAUUAGUAGAAUAACCUAGAAAUAGAAUAAUCUAGAAGGUGGGUAUGUACCACUAUAAAUAUGUAACUAUGUUGUGAAAUUGUAA
rnacentral:lncRNA from 1 species